AUGUUUCUACUUCUAUCUGCCCCACUUGCUCGGAUUGCUUCGAGCAUCGACAGGCACAGAUGGUUGGGGCCUGAAAAUGGCACACUAGAUUGAGUAUCUUGCAAUGCAAGCAAAGCACUGGGGUAUAAGUAAAGAAAUGGCGAGCACCUUUUUGCAUCGGAGGUCUGUCAGGCAAUGGUAAGUUAUCUUUCUCCAUGGAACUGCCAAGUUGUGGUGAAUUGUCCUUUUCAGCAACAGACUCAUUAACUGAUCCUACUGUUUCAAUGGCCUGUGAGAAGAAACACACAUAAAUAAGCAUAGAAGGAAGGAGAAGUUUGAAAAUACAGAUGAUCUGGAAGUUACCAAGCUCUCUUUGUCUGUGUCAACAAACUGCUUUGUCUUUAAAAAGAAUGCACUGAGAUUUUGCACUAACAUACUUGAACAGCUUCAGAGAUUCCAGUAAUCACUCUAAUGACAUCUACGCAAGCAAAGAAGAGUUAUUAUAAAAUCACCACCAAACAAACGAGAGAAAAGAUGAUUAGUCACAAAAUCACUUGUAAAGCGUUCAGGCAUAUCUGUAGGCCUAGGGAGCUGAGCUAUUGGAGUCAAUGCAUACGUACAGAAGGGGAACUCUGCUUCCAUUCCAGUUCUCUCCACAAGUUCAGUGCGCUUUAUAAACUUAAUCAUUAAAUGACCUUCCACUGGUCUAAAAACAUACUUCCACGGGAAUACCAGGAACUUCUGAAACUCGACGGUGUACAAAACUGCAAAGCAAAGCAAAACAACAGAAAAUGAGAUAGAAAAACAAGAAGCCUUAAACAUCAGUCAGAAAUUUCAAGCUGUAGUUGCAUGGAAAUGGUAAAUAAAAUGGUACCGGCGUUUAUAGGACCAUAGGCAUGGCCUGACUGGAUUUCAUCUAGAUAUUCGUUAAGCUUCAUCUUAGUAAUCUCAAGCCACAUUGGACUACAUGUAAAAAUAGUAAAAGUAUCAGGGGCCUCAUCCACUCAACAAAUUGUAAGACCAUCCUGAAAGUUCUCCUGGUAGUAACGCCGACCAGUGGUAUGGCUGGACGGCACAAUCGUUUUCAUCGGCAAAAGAGAACCAAUAAGAUGAUGGACCUGACCACAAAUUUUGAAGAUAUUAACCCCCGCGUGCCUUCCAGCGAACGAAUGACGUCGCCACAAUAGACGUAAAUGCCGUCCAACUGUGAUGCGGUAUCUUUGUCAGGAAUUGCUUGGAAACACGAUCACCAUGACAUGAUAAUAAAUGACUCAAUAAAGCAGGAGGAUUUCUGAAAGGUUUAACAACGACUUUUCCACCUUUGCAACAAAGGUUAUAAACAAUUUUACGUAACACACAUGAAGAAUAUGGAUUGGCCCUCUCCUCAAACCAAAAAGAAGCCUUGCAGAGAGGGCACUGGUACUCAGGAGGACCAUAGUAAGAUCUGUCCUUAUAGGAAACUACAGAAAACACAAUACUCAAGGAGGCCGUCAUGACAGGAAAAGGAAAAAACAAAACUAACAUCAACCUAAUAGUUAGUACCUUUGCGAUUGUCAACUACCUCGACAGGAAAACCAGUCCAAUCAGUUGGCAAGUCCCCUUCAAACCAAAGAUCUACAUGCAUGUUGUUAUGAGAAACAACAGCCAAAACAAAGAUACUAAGGACGGAAAGACAGGAACCCCGACCAAGAAAACCAGUACAUGUAACACCAUGGCAACGAAGGCCCCUAAGUAAUUUAUGCCUCUUCCGAUUUCUAGCCAACAUGGCAGGAGUGAGCACUGGGAACCAGGCAUCCCCUAGAAAACGACAGAACCGACACAAAUGAACAGAUGCAAGCCAAACAAAACCUAAGGAAAUGACCAUAUAGACAACAUACCAUUUCUCUUACGAAUACCACAAACACCAACAACAGGAGCAUGCAAAACACGCCGACGGCGAGCCAUCAUCAGCAAUGAGCACACAUAUAUGCAAAUACUGCAUAUUAAGACGAAAGCGAAGUAAAGACAGCACAGGUAAAUGCAAAAAAGUAUCAAACAGGAGCACAAGAGACAGUAGAGCCAAUUAAAUGAAAUAAUAAUGAUUCAUGCAUACAAAGAGAUGUUUAUUACAAGCAUACCCAAGGGAACAAUAUAAUGACCCAGACAUAAUCUAUCUAAGACACUCCUAGAUGGGCCUUAGAACCCAGACACCGAAUUGACCAGCUAUGAAUACAAUAAUUGUAAUUGAACACUUGUAUUUAUACCAGCGACAUCAACCUGCCCGCCUGCAUGUACCAGAGGCCAGGCAGGCUGGGCAAGCGCACCUGCAAGCACCAGAACCGACUGCGCAACACCUUUUAUAUGCUAACAUGCUAUCGUAAUUGUAAUCUGCAACAACAAACCCAUAUAUCCCUUGUAAAAAUUGGUUUGACACGGCACCACGUCAUCCCUAGUAAGAACAUCAAUCUCCACCCCUCCAAGCAGAAAACCAUCAGAUGCCACCACUCAAACAUAAGAAUGAAAUGGCAAUCGACAAUAGGUCGCAACAGCCUCAAGCAGAGGCACACAGGAAGAACUGAUAAUAAAAAUGCUUAUAAUAAUUAAUUAUUAAGGAGCAACCGGAAAAAUACCAACGCAGACCAUACAAAGGGAAGAACACAGAAGCCUAUGAAAUAAAUAGUAAUAAACACAACUAAAUAGCAAGCAAUAGGAAACAUAGCAAGGCACGACUUACCCUAUGAACCGAGCAGCAGCUCCACCAGUAAGUAGUUUCCAACAACAAAGUGCAACCCAAGAACUCAGUUGUAACUGAAACAAGCUGCCAAACAGAAAGUAAGGACCAUGAAAGAAAGCAAGGCAAAUUAAUAAACAGAGAAAUCAUAUGUAGAAGCAAUGAAGUCUGUAAUUGAGAAGCGCAGAUAAUCACUAAAGCAGAGAACUAACAUAACAUAAUAGCUGAAGGUGGCAAGCAAAAACAAGCAGACCCGAUGAGCAUAGCAAGCGUGAAACGCAUUCAGGAGCAGUUGGUCAACAUGCAAAGACACAGAAUGAAAGCCUAAAGCAUGGGCACCAGAUAACUGAAUCUCGCAGCAAGAAGCUAACAGCAGACACCCCCUAUUAGAAGGCACCCUCAUUAGCAGAACUGUAAACACAUCAAGCACACAAUCUCAAAUUCUCUUUGUAACCAACCAUGCCAAGUUGCCAACCAUCAUGGACAACAUCUUAACAGCCCGGCGGAGCUCAAAUCCAACACUCUCUUCCUAAUCAAACAUCCACCAUUAAGACAAGGCAAACAUCCAGCACUGAGACCAUUAUAACAAGAAGAGGGAUACCCAACCAUAAUAACUUAGGCAGACCAAAUCAAUUGACAGAGGCCAAUUAACAGACCAAACCCUUUAUUUUUUUCACACGUCACCUGACAAAGAAUAAUGUCACCAAACCAGUCCAAAAGGCGCAUACCCUGGUACAUCGACCUCUUCUGAAAAUCUCACUACAAUCGUAGAGAGAGAAUGCCGGCCCUAGCAAGAUCUAGACAACUAAGAAAAAAACACCUGUCACGCACAAGCAAACAAAGGAGGCACAAUGGAGAACUACUAAAAUCUAACCGGAGGACACCACCAUUCGUCUCCAUCAACAUAAAGAGACAAAUGUGAACUACCAAAAUCCAACCAGAGGACCCAGCCAAUACAAGAAGAAACCAAACAAAUUCACUGAUUUGCCACCAUCCACACCCAUAUGAUCGACGGACACACCAUACCGAGCAAUACACACAGACAAACAAGAAACAUAAAAAUAGAGAUAAGGAAAACGAGAGGUCGACCUGUAGUUUCCUGAUGAAAACGCGAAGACCAUCAUAGAUCGACCAGCGACACAGCAAAUCUAGGCCAAGUGAGGAGGAGAACAACGGACCUGCAAGUAGUAGACACCCAAGAUCCAAAACUGGCCAGCCAUGACAAUUCGAACACAGAAAAGAGGAAAGAACCGAGAGGAGAAUCACCUUAGCCGACGUCACCCCAGCGCGCCGCCAUCGGAGCCCCUCGGCGACCAACCCAGCGACGACUCAUGGACCAGGGAGCAGGACUACAGAGAGGAUUGAGCAACAAAACGAAAGGAGGGGAGGAGAAGAGGCAGGCGAUGACGCAGGAUAAGGGAGACGACCCACGCCCUAUGCCGUCGUAUAGCUUCGGGCCACGCGAGGUCCGGGUGCCUCUCCCCACGCACGGGCAGCGCGCCUCGACCCCAACACCGGAUCCGGCACCGCCAUGGGCCGCUCGACGGGGCAGGGGCUGGAACUGGACGGCGGCGGGGCAGGGAGGCGGGUGGGAGGGAGGAGGCGCGCGGGAGAGGAGGGGAGGCGGCGGCGAGGCGGGAGGAGCUGGGCGCGGUGGAGGCGCGAGGCGAAGGCGCGAGCGAGGGAGGAGGGAGUCGGCUGCGUGGGAGGGAGGGAGGGAGGCGGCUGCGCGAGUGCGGGAGAGAGAGGCGGCUAGGUCAUCUCCAUGGCGUGGUCCCUUUUAUACCCCCACCAUGCGAAAUGACCAAAAUACCCUGGUGGGGGCAUGGUAUUUACAUUCUGUUGCCAUUACUAUUCAUUUCAGCAGUGUUUCUUCCAAAUUCGAUAGCCCAGAUCCUCCCACCUCUCGAUCCAACAGACGAAAACGCAUCAAGGGAACAGAUCCAACGGCCCAGAAUCGCUGAUCUCUGUGGAGCCUUGUAGGAACAUCCUUCUCUUAUCUCUUGAUAUAGGAGAAAUAAGUAGGUCGGUGGAGUAACGAGGGGCCCACGAGGGUGGAGGGCGCGCCCGGAGGGGGGGUAGGCGCGCCCCCUGCCUCAUGGCCUCCUCGAUUGUUUCUUGACGUCCACUCCAAGUCCCGUGGAUCACGUUUGUUCCAAAAAUCAUGUUCACGAAGGUUUCAUUCCGUUUGGACUCCGUUUGAUAUUCCUUUUCUACGAAACACUGAAAUAUGCAAAAAAAACAGCAAUUUGGGCUGGCCCUCCGGUUAAUAGGUUAGUCCCAAAAAUAAUAUAAAAGUGUAAAAUAAAUCCCAUUAACAUCCAAAACAGAUAAUAUAAUAGCAUGGAACAAUCAAAAAUUAUAGAUAUGUUGGAGACGUAUCAAGCAUCGCCAAGCUUAAUUCCUGCUCGUCCUCGGGUAGGUAAAUGAUAAAAACAGAAUUUUUGAUGUGGAAUGCUUUCUAGAAUAUUCUUCAAUGUAUUUUUCUAUAUUGUGGCAUGAAUGUUCAGAUCUGAAAGAUUCAUGAUAAAAGUUUAUUGUUGACAUAAAAAUAGUAAUACUCCAAGUAUGCUAGUCAAGCAAUUAUGUCUUAUAAAAAUACCAUAGCCAGAGAAAACUUAACCCUACAAAGUCAUAUAGUUUGGCCAUGCUUCAUUUUCGUCACACAAAAUGCUCUCAUCAUGCACAACCCCGAUGACAAGCCAAGCAAUUGUUUCAUACUUAGCCUUUUUCAAACUCUUUCAACUUUUACGCAAUAUAUGAGCGUGAGCCAUGGACAUAGCACUAUGGGUGGAAUAGAAUAUGAUGAUUGAGGUUGUGUGAGAAGACAAAAAGGGAGAAAGUCUCACAUUGACGCGGCUAAUCAAUGGGCUAUGGAGAUGCCCACCGAUUGAUGUCAAUGCAAGGAGUAGGGAUUGCCAUGCAACAGAUGCACUAGAGCUAUAAAUAUAUGAAAGCUCAUCAAAGAAACUAAGUGGGUGUGCAUCCAACUCGCUUGCUCACGAAGACCUAGGGCAUUUGAGGAAGCCCGUCAAUGGAAUAUACAAGCCAAGUUCUAUAAUGAAAAAUUCCCACUAGUAUAUGAAAGUGACAAAAUAAGAGACUCUCUAUCGUGAAGAUCAUGGUGUACUUUGAAGCACAAGUGUGGAAAAAGGAUAGUAACAUUGUCCCUUCUCUCUUUUUCUCUCAUUUAUUUUUUUUUCUUUUUUUAUUUGGGCCUUUUUUCCUUUUUUUUUCUUUUGGCCUCUUUUCUUUUCCUUUUUUCGUCCGGAGUCUCAUCCCGACUUGUGGGGGAAUCAUAGUCUCCAGCAUCCUUUCCUCACAUGGGACAAUGUUCUAAUGAUGAUCAUCACACUUUUAUUUUCUUACAACUCAAGAAUUACAACUCGAUACUUAGAACAAAAUAUGACUCUAUGUGAAUGCCUCCGGCGGUGUACCAGGAUUGCAAUGAAUCAAGAGUGACAUGUAUGAAAAAAUUAUGAACAGUGGAUUUGCCACAAAUACGAUGUCAACUACAUGAUCAUGCAAAGCAAUAUGACAAUGAUGAUACAUGUCAUAAUAAAUGGAACGGUGGAAAGUUGCAUGGCAUUAUAUCUCGGAAUGGCUAUGGAAAUGCCAUAAUAGGUAGGUAUGGUGGCUGUUUUGAGGAAGAUAUAAGGAGGCUUAUGUGUGAUAGUGAAGGAAAUAUGCCCUAGAGGCAAUAAUAAAGUUAUUAUUUACUUCCUUAUAUCAUGAUAAAUGUUUAUUAUUCAUGCUAGAAUUAUAUUAACCGGAAACAUGAUACAUGUGUGAAUGCAUAGACAAACAGAAUGUCACUAGUAUGCCUCUACUUGACUAGCUCGUUGGUCAAAGAUGGUUAUGUUUCCUGACCAUAGACAAAGAGUUGUCAUUUGAUUAACGGGGUCACAUCAUUAGGAUAAUGAUGUGAUUGACUUGGCCCAUUUCAUUAGCUUAGCACUUGAUCGUUUAGUUUGUUGCUAUUGCUUUCUUCAUGACUUAUACAUGUUCCUAUGACUAUGAGAAUAUGCAACUCCUGUUUACCGGAGGAACACUUUGUGUGCUACCAAACGUCACAACGUAACUGGGUGAUUAAAAAGGUGCUCUACAGGUGUCUCCGAAGGUACUUGUUGGGUUGGCGUAUUUCGAGAUUAGGAUUUGUCACUCCGAUUGUCGGAGAGGUAUCUCUGGGCCCACUCGGUAAUACACAUCACUUAAGCCUUGCAAGCAUUGCAACUAAUGAGUUGGUUGCGGGAUGAUGUGUUACGGAACGAGUAAAGAGACUUGCCGGUAAUGAGAUUGAACUAGGUAUUGAGAUACCGACAAUCGAAUCUCGGGCAAGUAACAUACCGAUGACAAAGGGAACAACGUAUGUUGUUAUGCGGUCCGACCGAUAAAGAUCUUCAUAGAAUAUGUAGGAGCCAAUAUGGGCAUCCAGGUUCCGCUAUUGGUUAUUAACCAAAGAGGUGUCUCGGUCAUGUCUACAUAGUUCUCGAACCCGUAGGGUCCGCACGCUUAACAUUCGCUGACGGUAUAGUAUUAUGAGUUAUAUAUGUUGGUGACGGAAUGUUGUUCGGAGUUCCGGAUAAGAUCACGGACAUGACGAGGAACUCCGGAAUGGUCCGGAGAUAAAGAUUGAUAUAUGGGAUAAUAGUGUUUGGACUCCGGAAGGGGUUCCGGAUGUUUCCCGAAAUGUUUGGGUACGAGAACACUUUAUUUGGGCCAAAGGGGAAAGCCCACAAGGUUUUUGGAAAACGGAAAAGGAAGUUUUGCGGAGUCCAGGGGCCAGACGCCAGGGUCCCUGGCGUCUGGCCCUGGAGUCCGAGAAGGACUCUUGCCUUUCAGGUGAAACCGACUUUGUGGAGGCUUUUACUCCAAGUUCCGACCCCAAGGCUCAACAUAUAAAUAGAGGGGUAGGGCUAGCACCCAAGACACAUCAAGAAACACCAAGCCGUGUGCCGGCAACCCCGUCCCCUCUAGUUUAUCCUCCAUCAUAGUUUUCGUAGUGCUUAGGUGAAGCCCUGCGGAGAUUGUUCUUCACAAAUACCGUCACCACGCCGUCGUGCUGCCGGAACUCAUCUACUACUUCGCCCCUCUUGCUGGAUCGAGAAGGCGAGGACGUCACCGAGCCGAACGUGUGCAGAACUCGGAGGUGCCAUGCUUUCGGUACUUGGAUCAGUCGGAUCGUGAAGACGUAAGACUACAUCAACCACGUUGAUAUAACGCUUCCGCGAAUGGUCUACGAGUGUACGUAGAUAACACUCUCCCCUCUCGUUGCUAUGCAUCACCAUGAACCUGCAUGUGCGUAGGAAUUUUUUUGAAAUUACUAUGUUCCCCAAUAGUGGCAUCCGAGCCUGGUUUUAUGCGUAGAUGUUAUAUGCACGAGUAGAACACAAGUGAGUUGUGGGCGAUACAAGUCAUUCUGCUUACCACCAUGUCAUACUUUGGUUCGGCGGUAUUGUUGGAUGAAGCGGCCCGGACCGACAUUACGCGUACGGUUACGCGAGACUGGUUCUACCGACGUGCUUUGCACAUAGGUGGCCGGCGGGUGUCAGUUUCUCCAGCUUUAGUUGAACUGAGUGUGGCUAUGCCCGGUCCUUGAGAAGGUUAAAACUGCACUAACUUGAUGAACUAUCAUUGUGGUUUUGAUGCAUAGGUAAGAACGGUUCUUGCUCAACCCGUAGCAGCCACGUAAAACUUGAAAAAGUAGAGGACGUCUAACUUGUUUUUGCAGGGCAUGAUGUGAUAUGAUAUGGCCAAGGCAUGAUGCUAUAUUUUAUUGUAUGAGAUGAUCAUGUUUUGUAACCGAGUUAUCGGCAACUGGCAGGAGCCAUAUGGUUGUCGCUUUAUUGUAUGCAAUGCAAACGCCCUGUAAUGCUUUACUUUAUCACUAAGCGGUAGCGAUAGUCAUAGAAGCAUAAGUUGGCGAGACGACAACGAUGCUACGAUGGAGAUCAAGGUGUCACGCCGGUGACGAUGGUGAUCAUGAUGGUGCUUCGGAGAUGGAGAUCACAAGCACAAGAAGAUGAUAGCCAUGUCAUAUCACUUAUAUUGAUUGCAUGUGAUGUUUAUCUUUUAUGCAUCUUAUCUUGCUUUGAUUGAUGGUAGCAUUAUAAGAUGAUCUCUCACUAAAUUAUCAAGAUAUAAGUGUUCUCCUUGAGUAUGCACCGUUGCGAAAGUUCUUCGUGCUGAGACACCACGUGAUGGUCGGGUGUGAUAGGCUCUACGUUCAAAUACAACGGGUGCAAAACAGUUGCACACGCGGAAUACUCAGGUUAAACUUGACGAGCCUAGCAUAUAACAGAUACACGGAGACCGAAAGGUCGAGCGUGAAUCAUAUAGUAGAUAUGAUCAACAUAGUGAUGUUCACCAUUGAAACUACUCCAUCUCACGUGAUGAUCGGACAUGGUUUAGUUGAUUUGGAUCACGUGAUCACUUGGAAGAUUAGAGGGGUGUCUAUCUAAGUGGGACUUCUUAAGUAAUAUGAUUAAUUGAACUUAAAUUUAUCAUGAACUUAGUACCUGAUAGUUUCUAGCUUGUCUAUGUUGAUUAUAGAUAGAUGGCUCGUGUUGUUGUUUCGUUAAAUUUUAAUGCGUUCCUUGAGAAAGCAAAUUUGAAAGAUGAUGGUAGCAAUUACACGGACUGGGUCUGUAACUUGAGGAUUAUCCUCAUUGCUGCACAGAAGAAUUACGUCCUGGAAGCACCGCUAGGUGUACCACCUGCACCAGCAACUGCAGACAUUGUGAAUGCCUGGCAGUCACGUGUUGAUGACUACUCGAUAGUUCAGUGUGCCAUGCUUUACGGCUUAGAACCGGGACUUCAACGAUGUUUUGAACAUCAUGGAGCAUAUGAGAUGUUCCAGGAGUUGAAGUUAAUAUUUCAAGCAAAUGCCUGGAUUGAGAGAUAUGAAGUCUCAUAUAAGUUCUAUAGCUGCAAGAUGGAGGAGAAUAGUUCUGUUAGUGAGCAUAUACUCAGAAUGUCUGGGUACUGCAAUCACUUGAUUCAACUGGGAGUUAAUCUUCCAGGUGAUAGUGUCAUUGACAGAAUUCUUCAAUCACUGCCACCAAGCUACAAGAGCUUCGUGAUGAACUAUAAUAUGCAAGGGAUGGAUAAGACGAAUCCCGAGCUCUUUGCAAUGCUAAAGGAUGCGGAGGUACAAAUCAAGAAGGAGCAUCAAGUGUUGAUGGUCAAUAAGACCACCAGUUUCAAGAAAAAGGGCAAAGGGAAGAAGAAGGGAAACUUCAAAAAGAACGGCAAACAAGUUGUUGCUCAAGAGAAGAAACCCAAGUCUGGACCUAAGCCUGAGACUGAGUGCUUCUACUGCAAGUAGACUGGUCACUGGAAGCGGAACUGCCCCAAGUAUUUGGCAGAUAAGAAGGAUGGCAAGGUGAACAAAGGUAUAUGUGAUAUACAUGUUAUUGAUGUGUACCUUACUAAUGCUCGCAGUAGCACCUGGUUAUUUGAUACUGGUUAUGUUGCUAAUAUUUGCAACUCGAAAUAGGAGCUACGGAUUAAGCGAAGACUAGCUAAGGACGAGGUGACGAUGCGUGUGGGAAAUGGUUCCAAAGUCGAUGUGGUCGUAGUCGGCAGACUACCUCUACAUCUACCUUCGGGAUUAGUUUUAGACCUGAAUAAUUGUUAUUUGGUGCCAGCGUUGAGCAUGAACAUUAUAUCUGGAUCUUGUUUGAUGCGAGAUGGUUAUUCAUUUAAAUCAGAGAAUAAUGGUUGUUCUAUUUAUAUGAGUAAUAUCUUUUAUGGUCAUGCACCCUUGAAGAGUGGUCUAUUCUUAUUAAAUCUCGAUAGUAGUGAUACACAUAUUCAUAAUAUUGAAGCCAAAAGAUGCAGAGUUGAUAAUGAUAGUGCAACUUAUUUGUGGCACUACCGUUUAGGUCAUAUCGGUAUAAAGCCCAUGAAGAAAUUCCAUACUGAUGGACUUUUGGAACCACUUGGUUAUGAAUCAUUUGGUACUUGCGAACCGUGCCUCAUGGGCAAGAUGACUAAAACGCCGUUCUCCGAAACUAUGGAGCGAGCAACAGAUUUGUUGGAAAUCAUACAUACAAAUGUGUGUGGUCCGAUGAAUAUUGAGGCUCGCGACGGGUAUUGUUAUUUUCUCACCUUCACAGAUGAUUUAAGCAGAUAUGGGUAUAUCUACUUAACGAAACAUAAGUCUGAAACAUUUGAAAAGUUCAAAGAAUUUCAGAGUGAAGUUGAAAAUCAUUGUAACAAGAAAAUAAAGUUUCUAUGAUCUGAUCAUGGACGAGAAUAUUUGAGUUACGAGUUUGGUCUUCAUUUGAAACAAUGCGGAAUAGUUUCGCAACUGACGCCACCCGGAACACCACAACGUAAUGGUGUGUCCUAACAUCGUAAUCAUAGUUUACUAGAUAUGGUGCAAUCUAUGAUGUCUCUUACUGAUUUACCGCUAUCAUUUUGGGGUUAUGCUCUAGAGACAGCUGCAUUCAUGUUAAAUAGGGCACCAUCAAAAUCCGUUGAGACGACGCCUUAUGAACUAUGGUUUGGCAAGAAACCAAAGUUGUCGUUUCUGAAAGUUUGGGGUUGCGAUGCUUAUGUGAAAAAGCUUCAACCUGAUAAGCUCGAACCCAAAUCAGAGAAAUGUGUCUUCAUAGGACACCCAAAAGAGACUGUUGGGUACACCUUCUAUCACAGAUCCGAAGGCAAGACUUUUGUUGCUAAAUUAGGAAUCUUUCUAGAGAAGGAGUUUCUCUCGAAAGAAGUGAGUGGGAGGAAAGUAGAACUUGAUGAGGUAACUAUACCUGCUCCCUUAUUGGAAAGUAGUUCAUCACAGAAACAGGUUCCUGUGACACCUACACCAAUUAGUGAGGAAGUUAAUGAUGAUGAUCAUGAAACUUCAGAUCAAGUUGUUACUGAACCUCGUAGGUCAACCAGAGUGAGAUCCGCACCAGAGUGGUACGGUAAUCCUGUUAUGGAGGUUAUGUUGCUAGACCAUGAUGAACCUACGAACUAUGAAGAAGCAAUGGUGAGCCCAGAUUCCGCAAAAUGGCUUGAAGCCAUGAAAUCUGAGAUGGGAUCCAUGUAUGAGAACAAAGUGUGGACUUUGGUUGACUUGCCCGUUGAUCGGCAAGCCAUCGGGAAUAAAUGGAUCUUCAAGAAGAAGACUGACGCUGAUGGUAAUGUUACUGUCUAUAAAGCUCGACUUGUUGCAAAAGGUUUCAACAAGUUCAAGGGAUUGACUACGAUGAGACCUUCUCCCCCGUAGCGAUGCUAAAGUCUGUCUGAAUCAUGUUAGCAAUUGCUGCAUUUUAUGAUUAUGAAAUUUGGCAAAUGGAUGUCAAAACUGCAUUCCUGAAUGGAUUUCUGGAAGAAGAAUUGUAUAUGAUGCAACCGGAAGGUUUUGUCGAUCCAAAGGGAGCUAACAAAGUGUGCAAGCUCCAGCGAUCCAUUUAUGGACUGGUACAAGCCUCUCGGAGUUGGAAUAAACAUUUUGAUACUGUGAUCAAAGCAUAUGGUUUUAUACAGACUUUUGGAGAAGCCUGUAUUUACAAGAAAGUGAGUGGGACCUCUGUAGCAUUUCUAAUUUUAUAUGUGGAUGACAUAUUGUUGAUUGGAAAUGAUAUAGAAUUUCUGGAUAGCAUAAAAGGAUAUUUGAAUAAAAGUUUUUCAAUGAAAGACCUCGGUGAAGCUACUUACAUAUUGGGCAUCAAGAUCUAUAGAGAUAGAUCAAGACUCUUAAUUGGACUUUCACAAAGCACAUACCUUGACAAAGUUUUGAAGAAGUUCAAAAUGGAUCAAGCAAAGAAAGGGUUCUUGCCUGUGUUACAAGGUGUGAAGUUGAGUAAGACUCAAUGCCCGACCACUGCAGAAGAUAGAGAGAAAAUGAAAGAUGUUCCCUAUGCUUCAGCCAUGGGCUCUAUAAUGUAUGCAAUGCUGUGUACCAGACCUGAUGUGUGCCUUGCUUUUAGUUUAGCAGGGAGGUACCAAAGUAAUCUAGGAGUGGAUUACUGGAUAGCGGUCAAGAACAUCCUAAAAUACCUGAAAAGGAUGAAGGAUAUGUUUCUCGUUUAUGGAGGUGACAAAGAGCUCAUCGUAAAUGGUUACGUCGAUGCAAGCUUUGACACUGAUCCGGACGAUUCUAAAUCACAAACCGGAUACAUGUUUUUAUUAAACGGUGGAGCUAUCAGUUGGUGCAGUUCUAAACAAAGCGUCGUAGCAGGAUCUACAUGUGAAGCGGAGUAUAUAGCUGCUUUAGAAGCAGCAAAUGAAGGAGUCUGGAUGAAGGAGUUCAUAUCCGAUCUAGGUGUCAUACCUAGUGCAUCGGGUCUAAUGAAAAAUCUUUUGUGACAAUACUGGUGCAAUUGCUUAGGCAAAGGAAUCCAGAUUUCACAAGAGAACCAAGCACAUCAAGAGACUCUUCAACUCCAUCCGGGACCAAGUCCAGGUGGGAUACAUAGAGAUUUGAAAGAUACAUACGGAUCUGAAUGUUGCAGACCCGUUGACUAAGCCUCUUCCACGAGCAAAACAUGAUCAGCACCAAGGCUCCAUGGGUGUUAGAAUCAUUACUGUGUAAUCCAGAUUAUUGACUCUAGUGCAAGUGGGAGACUAAAGGAAAUAUGCCCUAGAGGUAAUAAUAAAGUUAUUAUUUAUUUCCUUAUAUCAUGAUAAAUGUUUAUUAUUCAUGCUAGAAUUGUAUUAACCGGAAACAUGAUACAUGUGUGAAUACAUAGACAAACAGAAUGUCACUAGUAUGCCUCUACUUGACUAGCUCGUUGGUCAAAGAUGGUUAUGUUUCCUGACCAUAGACAAAGAGUUGUCAUUUGAUUAAUGGGGUCACAUCAUUAGGAUAAUGAUGUGAUUGACUUCACCCAUUUCGUUAGCUUAGCACUUGAUCGUUUAGUUUGUUGUUAUUGCUUUCUUCAUGACUUAUACAUGUUUUUAUGACUAUGAGAUUAUGCAACUCCUGUUUACCGCAGGAACACUUUGCAUGCUACCAAACGUCACAACGUAACUGGGUGAUUAUAAAUGUGCUCUACAUGUGUCUCCGAAGGUACUUGUUGGGUUGGCGUAUUUCGAGAUUAGGAUUUGUCACUCCGAUUGUCGGAGAGGUAUCUCUGGGCCCACUCGGUAAUACACAUCACUUAAGCCUUGCAAGCAUUGCAACUAAUGAGUUGGUUGCGGGAUGAUGUGUUACAGAACGAGUAAAGAGACUUGCCAGUAAUGAGAUUGAACUAGGUAUUGAGAUACCGACGAUCGAAUCUCGGGCAAGUAACAUACCGAUGACAAAGGGAACAAUGUAUGUUGUUAUGCGGUCCGACCGAUAAAGAUCUUCGUAGAAUAUGUAGGAGCCAAUAUGGUCAUCCAGGUUCCGCUAUUGGUUAUUGACCAGAGAGGUGUCUCGGUCAUGUCUACAUAGUUCUUGAACCCAUAGGGCCCGCACGCUUAACGUUCGUUGACGAUAUAGUAUUAUGAGUUAUAUAUGUUGGUGAGUGAAUGUUGUUCGGAGUUCCGGAUAAGAUCACGGACAUGACGAGGAACUCCGGAAUGGUCCGGAGAUAAAGAUUGAUAUAUGGGAUAAUAGUGUUUGGACUCCGGAAGGGGUUUCGGAUGUUUCCCGAAAUGUUUGGGUACGAGAACACUUUAUUUGGGCCAAAGGGGAAAGCCCACAAGGUUUUUGGAAAGCGCAAAAGGAAGUUUUGUGGAGUCCAGGGGCCAGACGCCAGGGUCCUUGGAGUCUGGGUCCAGACGCCGGGAACCGUGGCGUCUGGCCCUGGAGUCCAAGAAGGACUCUUGCCUUUCAGGUGAAACCGACUUUGUGGAGGCUUUUACUCCAAGUUUCGACCCCAAGGCUCAACAUAUAAAUAGAGGGAUAGGGCUAGCACCCAAGACACAUCAAGAAACACCAAGUUGUGUGCCGGCAACCCCGUCCCCUCUAGUUUAUCCUCCGUCAUAGUUUUUGUAGUGCUUAGGUGAAGCCCUGCGGAGAUUGUUCUUCACCAACACCGUCACCACGCCGUCGUGCUGCCGGAACUCAUCUACUACUUCGCCCCUCUUGCUGGAUUGAGAAGGCGAGGACAUCACCGAGCCGAACGUGUGCAGAACUCGGAGGUGCCGUGCUUUCGGUACUUGGAUCGGUCGGAUCGUGAAGACGUACGACUACAUCAACCGCGUUGAUAUAACGCUUCCGCGAACGGUCUACGAGGGUACGUAGACAACACUCUCCCCUCUCGUUGCUAUGCAUCACCAUGAUCCUGCGUGUGCAUAGGAAUUUUUUUGAAAUUACUACAUUCCCCAACAGAUAGAGCGUAUCAUAUCACGGGGUUUGGAUGCACCGGCGAAGUUUGCACCAACUCUCAAGGUGAGAAAGGGCAAUGCACGGUACCGAAGAGGCUAGCAAUGAUGGAAGGGUGAGAGUGCGUAUAAUCCAUGAACUCAACAUUAGUCAUAAAGAACUCACAUACUUAUUGCAAAAAUUUACAAGUCAUCAAAACCAAGAACUAUGCGCAUGCUCCUAGGGGAUAGAUUGGUAGGAAAAGACCAUCGCUCAUCCCCGACCGCCACUCAUAAGGAAAGCAAUCAAAGAACACCCCAUGCUUCAAAUUUGUCACAUAAUGUUUACCAUACAUGCAUGCUAUGGGACUUGCCAACUUCAACACAAGUAUUCGUCAAUUUUACAAUUACUCAACUAGCACACCUCUAAUAUUACCACCUUUAUAUCUCAAAACCAUCUAUCAAGCAUCCAACUUCUCUUAGCAUUUAAAAUUUAUAACCAAAGUGAAUUACCAUGCUGUUCUAAAGGACUCUCAAAAUGAUAUAAGUGAAGCAUGAGAGAUCAAUUAUUUCUAUAAAAUAGAACCACCACCGUGCUCUAAAAGAUAUAAGCAAAGCAAUAGAGCUAAAAUUGUACAACUCAAAAGAUAUAAGUGAAUCACACAGAGUAUUCUAAUAAAUUCCAAUUCAUGUGAGUCCUUCCCAAAAGUUGUGUACAACAAAGAUGAUUGUGGUAAACUAAAAAGUAAAGACUCAAAUCAUACAAUACGCUCCAAGCAAAACACAUAUCAUGUGGCGAAUAAAAAUAUAGCUCCAAGUAAAGUUACCGAUGGACGAAGACGAAAGAGGGGAUGCCUUCCGGGGCAUCCCCAAGCUUAGGAUUUUUGGUGUCCUUGGAUUUUACCUUGGGGUGCCUUGUGAAUCCCCAAGCUUAGGCUCUUGCCACUCCUUGUUCCAUAAUCCAUCAAAUCUUUACCCAAAACUUGAAAACUUCACAACACAAAACUUAAAAGAAAAUCUUCGUGAGCUCCGUUAAUAAAAGAAAACAAACCACCACUUCAAGGUAAUGUAAUGAACUCAUUCUUUAUUUAUAUUUGUGUUAAACCUACUGUAUUCCAACUUUUGUAUGGUUCAUAAACUCUAUUACUAGCCAUAGAUUCAUCAAAAUAAGCAAACAACAUGCGAAAAAGAGAAUCUGUCAAAAACAGAACAGUCUGUAGUAAUCUGUAGGUUUCGAAUACUUCUGGAACCCCAAAAAUUCUAAAGUAAAUUUCUGGACGUGAGGAAUUUAUCUAUUAAUCAUCUGCAAAAAUAAUUAACUAAAUAUCACCCUCCAAUAAAAAAUGGCAUCAAUUCUCGUGAGCGCUAAAAUUUCUGUUUUUUACAGCAAGAUCAGAAAGACUUUCCCCAAGUCUUCCCAACGGUUCUACUUGGCACAAACACUAAUUAAACACAAAAAAACACAACCAAAACAGAGGCUAGAUAAAUUAUUUAUUACUAAAUAGUAACAAAAAGCAAGGAAUAAAAAUAAAGUUGGAUUGCCUCCCAACAAGCGCUAUCGUUUAACGCCCCUAGCUAGGCAUAAAAGCGAAGAUAGAUCUAGGUAUUGCCAUCUUUGGUAGGCAAUCCAUAAGUGGCUCUCAUAAUUGAUUCAUAUAGUAAUUUCAUUUUCUUUCUAGGGAAGUUUUCCAUGCCUUUCCUUAACGGAAAAUGGAAUUUAAUUUCCCUUCCUUCAUAUCAAUAAUUGCACCAAUCGUUCUAAGGAAAGGUCUACCAAGAAUAAUAGGACAUGAAGGAUUGCAAUCUAUAUCAAGAACAAUGGAAUCUACGGGCACAUAAUUCCUAUUCGCAACAAUAAGAACAUCAUUAAUCUUUUCCAUAGGUUUCUUAAUAGUGGAAUCCGCAAGGUGCAAGUUUAUAGAACAAUCAUCAAAUUCAUGGAAACCUAGCAAAUCACACAAAGUUUUUGGGAUCGUGGAAACACUAGCACCAAAAUCACACAAAGCAUAGCAUUCAUGAUCUUUAAUUUUAAUUUUAAUUUUAGGUUCCCACUCAUCAUAAAGUUUUCUAGGGAUAGAAACUUCCAACUCAAGUUUUUUCUUCGUAAGAUUGCAUCAAAGCAUCAACGAUAUGUUUAGUAAAGGCUUUAUUUUGACUAUAAGCAUGUGGAGAAUUUAGCAUGGAUUGCAACAAGGAAAUACAAUCUAUCAAAGAGAAAUUAUAAUAAUUAAAUUCCUUGAAAUCCAAGAUAGUGGGUUCGUUGCUAUCUAAAGUUUUGACCUCUUCAAUCCCACUUUUACCAAUUUUUGCAUCAAGAUCUAAAAACUCUGAAUCAUUGGGACGCCUUCUAACUAAAGUUGACUCAUCUCCAGUCCCAUCAUUAUCAAGAUUCAUAUUGAAAAACAAGGAUUUAAUAGGGGACACAUCAAUCACUUUUAGAUCUUCAUCCUUAUUAUCAUGAAAACUUUGCGGUUUAGCGGCCAUCUUAUUAACUAAGGCGGCCUCCUUAUCCGAGAUUUCAGCAAUUAAUUUUUCAAGAUGAGCAAGCUGAGAUUUCAAACCAUAAAAUUCCUUAGACAUAUCAUUGAGAUCUUUAUUCAUGAAACCGAUAAAACUUUUUUGUUCUUUAAGCUCAUUUCUAGAGAAAUUAUUAUGCUCAAACUGCAAGGACAUAAAACUUCUAACGUUGUUUUCGAUUUCUUCCAACCUUGUAAGGUGAGGAUCAACUCCUUUUGGUAAAGCCAUGAGGGCAACAAGCAACAAGACGUAAGCGAGAAAGAGGCGAAUGGGAAAGACAGAGCGAAUAAAACGGCAAGGGUGAAGUGGGGGAGAGGAAAACGAGAGGCAAAUGGCAAAUAAUGUAAUGCAAAGGAUAAGAGUUGUGAUGGGUACUUGGUAUGUCUUGACUUGGCGUAGAUCUCCCCGGCAACGACGCCAGAAAUCCUUCUUGCUACCUCUUGGGCACUUUGUUGGUUUUCCCUUGAAGAGGAAAGGGUGAUGCAGUAAAGCAACGUAAGUAUUUCCCUCAGUUUUUGAGAACCAAGGUACCAAUCCAGUAGGAGACCACACACGAGUCACCUCGUACCUACACAAACAAAUAAGAACCUCGCAACCAACACGAUAAAGGGGUUGUCAAUCCCUUCACGGCCACUUGCAAGAGUGAGAUCUGAUAGAGAUGAUAAUAAUAAGAUAAAUAUUUUUGGUAUUUUUAUGAUAUAGAUUGAAAGUAAAGAUUGCAAAAUAAAAUAGAUUGGAAACUUAUAUGAUGGAGAAUAGACCCGGGGGCCAUAGGUUUCACUAUUGGCUUCUCUCAAGAUAGCAUAAGUAUGGUGGGUGAACAAAUUACUAUUGAGCAAUUGAUAGAAAAGCGAAUAAUUAUGAGAAUAUCUAGGUAUGAUCAUGUAUAUAGGCAUCACAUCCGUGACAAGUAGACCGACUCUUGCCUGCAUCUACUACUAUUACUCCACACAUCGACCGCUAUCCAGCAUGCAUCUACUACUAUUACUCCACACAUCAACCGCUAUCCAGCAUGCAUCUAGAGUAUUAAGUUCAUAAGAAUGGAGUAACGCCUUAAGCAAGAUGAAAUGAUGUAGAGGGAUAAACUCAUGCAAUAUGAUAUAAACCCCAUCUUUUUAUCCUCGAUGGCAACAAUACAAUACGUGUCGUUUCCCUUUCUGUCACUGGGAUCGAGCACCGCAAGAUUGAACCCAAAGCUAAGCACUUCUCCAAUGGCAAGAAAGAUCAAUCUAGUAGGCCAAACCAAACUGAUAAUUCGAAGAGACUUGCAAAGAUAAACCAAUCAUACAUAAAAGAAUUCAGAGAAGAUUCAAAUAUUGUUCAUAGAUAGACUUGAUCAUAAACCCGCAAUUCAUCAGAUCUCGACAAACACACCGCAAAAGAAGACUACAUCGAAUAGAUCUCCAAGAGAAUUGAGGAGAACUUUGUAUUGAGAUCCAAAGAGAGAGAAGAAGCCAUCUAGCUACUAGCUAUGGACCCGAAGGUCUGAGGUAAAUGACUCACACAUCAUCGGAGGGGCCAUGGAGUUGAUGUAGAGGCCCGCCGUGAUCAAUGACCCCUCCGGCGGAGCUCCGGAAAAGGCCCCAGGAUGGGAUCUCUUGGGUACAGAAGGUUGCGGCGGUGGAAAUAGGGUUUCGUGGUGCUCCUGGAUGUUCUCGGGGUAUAUGGAUAUAUAUAUAUAUAUAUAUAUAUAUAUAUAUAUAUAGGAGGAAGAAGUAGGUCGGUGGAGCAACGAGGGGCCCACGAGGGUGGAGGGCGUGCCCAGGGGGGUAGGCGCGCCCCCUGCCUCAUGGCCUCCUCGAUUGUUUCUUGACGUCCACUCAAAAUCCCCUGGAUCACAUUUGUUCCAAAAAUCACGUUCCCGAAGGUUUCAUUCUGUCUGGACUCCGUUUGAUACUCCUUUUCUACGAAACACUGAAAUAGGCAAAAAACAGCAAUUUGGGCUGAGCCUCCGUUUAAUAGGUUAGUCCCAAAAACAAUAUAAAAGUGUAAAAUAAAGCCCAUUAACAUCCAAAACAGAUAAUAUAAUAGCAUGGAACAAUCAAAAAUUAUAGAUACGUUGGAGACGUAUCAGAUAUCUGGUGUUCAAGGGGGGCUUGCCUAGUUGCUUUGGCAAGAAGGAAGGGUCGUCAACACCGUAGUCGAGCUGGGGGUCGCCGGUAGUCUCGGGGUCUACCAAAAAGAAGUAACGGAGGGGAAACACAAUAAAUAACAAAGCAAUCAAAGCAUCACAAAGUAUAACAUGGCAAUACGCGGUGCUAGGUUUGACCUAACGUAGUACUAGGUGAUACCGGUGAAGGAGGAAAACAUCCGGGAAGUAUUCCCGGUGUUUCGCGUUUUCGAACAGAUGAACCGGAGGGGGAAAGUUGUGUGUUUGCUAUGCUAGGGAUGUGUGGCGGAAGAACAGGCUGCGUAUUCGGAUUCGUCUCGUCGUUCUGAGCAACUUUCAUGUACAAAGUAUUUUCAUCCGAGUUACGGUUUAUUUGCUAUUGUUUAUCAAAGUUUUAGGCAUUUUUUUAAGUUCAUUUAAUUAUUUAAAUCAAACAUUAUCCAGAACAGUGAAAGGUGAUGUCAGCAUGACAUCACCAUGACAUCAGCAGGUCAAACCCAGCUGAUGAGAGUCAAACCUGGCCUGUGGGUCUAGUGGGACCCACCUGUCAUAGACUAAGGCUAACUAAACAUGUUUAGUUAGUUUAGCUAAUUGAUUAGGUUAAUCAAACACAAUUAAUUUAAUUAAUUAAUUUAGUUAAUUAAUUAAUUAAUAUUUGUAUUUAUUUAUUAUUAUUCUUAAUUCUUUUUUAAUUCUUUUUUCUAAUCGUUCUGGGUGGGCCCCCCUUGUCAUAGGCCCUAGAGGCCUUAAUGGGGCGNNNNNNNNNNNNNNNNNNNNNNNNNNNNNNNNNNNNNNNNNNNNNNNNNNNNNNNNNNNNNNNNNNNNNNNNNNNNNNNNNNNNNNNNNNNNNNNNNNNNUAGGGCCAGGACAGCACGCCGGCGUGGAGCAGUGGCAGGGCGUGCACGCGCGGUCUCGGCAAGGUGCGGGCACGGCGGCCGUCAACGGGGAAGGCGGGUCGGCACGGUGGCACACAGUAGCAGCAGAAGCGGCGCAGCAGUUGAGGCUGUGGGCGCGUGAGCGGCUGCCGGCAGACGAGGUCAAGCAGAGGGGGAGCGGGGCGGGGUAUGUCAUCCGGGCGAGAGGACGCGAGCGCAUGCGCGCGUGAUGGUGCGCUGAGCGCAGCGGGCAGGGCCACGGCGCGGCCAACAACGGCUACAAGGCGAGGUGGGCGCAGUGGCCGGCGAGCAGCAGUGAAGGUGGUGGAGGGGGCCGCGGCAGACACGGGACAGAGGAAGAGACGGGGAAAGGGCGAGGCUCGAGGUGUCCUUUGGGGAGGAGGACGGGGAUGCAAGAUCCGGCGACGGGGCGGUGGUCGGCGACGAGCGUCGGCGGAGUGGCUCCGGGCGGCGUCGGCGACGGUUCCUCGGGUGGGGGCGUGGUCGGGCAGCCGUGUACGACGAGGUGGCGGCGGGGGAUGACUCUGGCGCGGGAGUGGUGGCGGAGGUGGGUGCAGGGGAGGAUGAGGCGAGUUCGGGGGAGGCGCAGGGCGUGGCCGGCGGGAGGAGCUGCGGGGUCGAGCGAGAGCGCUCUCGCUCGUCCGUGGCGGCGCGAGGCGGGUGGGGGUCGAGAGGAUCAUGCAGAUAGGGAGUGGGGGCGAGAGGUGUGAGGGUCUAGGGUUCAGUUGCAGGGGGUUAUUGGGGCAGUGGUGGGCCGACUGGGUGUGCGACCAGCUGGGCUGUGGCCCAGUUGGACCAGGGGCACUUUUCCUUUUUAUUUUACUUCUUUUUGUUUUUUUUAUUUAUCCUUUAUUUAUUUAUUUUAGUUUCUAUUUAUUUUAGUUUUAAUAAAAUACAAAAGUGACACCUAAUUUAGUGUUACAAAUUGUGGCUUUGCAACUAUUAAUUUAGCUCUCCAAAAUAAAAUGGUUUGUAAUAGUUUAUUCUUUUUAAAAGCAUUUAAGUAAUUGUUUAGCCCCUAUUUCAAUUAAUUUCUUACAUCUAAACAUUUUAUCAAAAUGUGGUUUCAUCAGCAUAAUUACAUAUGCAUUAUAUGUCAUCUCUCGAACAUUUUAGUUUUAAUUUUUGAAAACAUUUGUUGCUUGCCUAUAUUUUAAAUUUGAAUUUGAAUCGUUUUUUGAACCAUCGCGAAAUUAAUAACAGUAAUCGCAGUGACAUGGCAUCAUUAGCAAAGGUCCACUGUAGCUUAAUUAUCCGGGCGUCACAAUUCUCCUCCAUUACAAGAAAUCUCGUCCCGAGAUUUUAAGAGGCUGAGUAAGGGGAAAGAUGUGGUUACUAAAUUCUAACAAUUCUUCUCGGUCUUAGUUUCUCUUCUCAAAGAGGUCGAUCCAUUACAUUCAUGUCUUCAUUUCUCUGCUUCAAGUCAUCAUGAUGAAGUUGUCGUCCUUCCUUAAGGAUCUUCACUAUACUUACAAAAGACUAAAGGAGGAGCAUUCCGGGAGAACAGACCUCGGCAAGGUUGACUAUCUAGUCGAGAACAUCGAGGAAGGUGGCGGAGAGUAACUCUCGAAUUGAAACUUAUGAAAAUAUCGAGAGCAAAGUAAGGAGUUAUCAUGGGAAGUUUCGAGCGGGCAGGCAAGCGCUCGAUGCCUGAAACAGGGCGCGAAAGGGACCCAAAGCAACGGGAAUAAGUAUUGUGUCUGAUAGCAGAAUUGAUGAUCUCUCGAAAGGUGGCUCAUGAAUUACAUAUGAGACCACACGCGAGGAAUAACUAUGGAAAUAGGGGGUACAUGAGAGUGAAGGAAAUAUGCCCUAGAGGCAAUAAUAAAGUUAUUAUUUAUUUCCUUAUAUCAUGAUAAAUGUUUAUUAUUCAUGCUAGAAUUGUAUUAACCGGAAACAUAAUACAUGUGUGAAUACAUAGACAAACAGAGUGUCACUAGUAUGCCUCUACUAGACUAGCUCGUUAAUCAAAGAUGGUUAUGUUUCCUAACCAUGGACAAAGAGUUGUUAUUUGAUUAACGGGAUCACAUCAUUAGGUGAAUGAUCUGAUUGACAUGACCCAUUCCAUUAGCUUAGCACUUGAUCGUUUAGUAUGUUGCUAUUGCUUUCUUCAUAACUUAUACAUGUUCCUAUGACUAUGAGAUUAUGCAACUCCCGUUUACCGGAGGAACACUUUGUGUGCAACCAAACGUCACAACGUAACUGGGUGAUUAUAAAGGUGCUCUACAGGUGUCUCCAAAGGAACAUGUUGGGUUGGCGUAUUUCGAGAUUAGGAUUUGUCACUCCGAUUGUCGGAGAGGUAUCUCUGGGCCCUCUCGGUAAUGCACAUCACUUAAGCCUUGCAAGCAUUGCAACUAAUGAGUUAGUUGCGGGAUGAUGUAUUACAGAACAAGUAAAGAGACUUGCCGGUAACAAGAUUGAACUAGGUAUGGGAUACCGACGAUCGAAUCUUGGGCAAGUAACAUACCGAUGACAAAGGGAACAACGUAUGUUGUUAUGCGGUCUGACCAAUAAAAGAUCUUCGUAGAAUAUGUAGGAGCCAAUAUGAGCAUCCAGGUUCCGCUAUUGGUUAUUGACCGGAGACGUGUCUCGAUCAUGUCUACAUUGUUCUCGAACCCGUAGGGUCCGCAUGCUUAAGGUUACGAUGACAGUUAUAUUAUGAGUUUAUGCAUUUUGAUGUACCGAAGGUUGUUCGGAGUCCCGGAUGUGAUCACGGACAUGACGAGGAGUCUCGAAAUGGUCGAGACAUAAAGAUUGAUAUAUUGGAAGCCUAUGUUUGGAUAUCGGAAGUGUUCCAGGUGAAAUCGGGAUUUUACCGGAGUACCGGGAGGUUACCGGAACCCCCCAGGAGGUAUAUGGGCCUUAGUGGGCCUUAGUGGAAGAGAGGAGAGGUGGCCAGAGAUGGGAUGCGCGCCCCUCCCCCCUUGGUCCGAAUUGGACAAGGAGAGGGGGCCGGGCCCCCUUCCUCCUCUCUCUCCUCUUCCCCCCUCCACGAAUCCUAUUCCAACUAGGAAAGGGGGGGGGGGUCCUACUCCCAGAGGGAGUAGGACUCCUCCUGGCGCGCCUCUCCUGGCCGGCCGGCCCCCUCCCUUGAACCUUUAUAUACGGAGGCAUGGGCACCCCCUAGAGACACAAGUUGAUCCACGUGAUCAUAUUCUUAGCCGUGUGCGGUGACCCCUUUCCACCAUAGUGCUCGAUAAUAUUGUAGCGGUGCUUAGGCGAAGCCCUGUGACGGUAGUACAUCAAGAUCGUCACCACGCCGUCGUGCUGACGGAACUCUUCCCCGACACUUUGCUGGAUCGGAGUCCAGGGAUCGUCAUCGAGCUGAACGUGUGCUAGAACUCGGAGGUGCCAAAGUUUCGGUGCUUGAUCGGUCGGGCCAUGGAGACGUACGACUACAUCAACCAAACGCUUCCGUUGUCGAUCUACAAGGGUACGUAGAUCAUACUCUCCCCUCUCGUUGCUAUGCAUCACCAUGAUCUUGCGUGUGCGUAGGAUUUUUUUUGAAAUUACUACGUUUCCCAACAGUGGCAUCCGAGCCUAGGUUUUAUAUGUUGAUAUUAUAUGCACGAGUAGAACACAAGUGAGUUGUGGGCGAUAUAAGUCAUACUGCUUACCAACAUGUCAUACUUUGGUUCGGUGGUAUUGUUGGACGAAGCGGCCCGGACCGACAUUACGCGUACGCUUACGCGAGACCGGUUCUCCCGACGUGCUUUGCACAUAGGUGGCUUGCGGGUGACAGUUUCUCCAACUUUAGUUGAACCGAGUGUGGCUACGCCCGGUCCUUGCGAAGUUUAAAACAGCACCAACUUGACAAACUUUCAUUGUGGUUUUGAUGCGUAGGUAAGAUUGGUUCUUGCUUAAAGCCCGUAGCAGCCACGUAAAACAUGCAACAACAAAGUAGAGGACGUCUAACUUGUUUUUGCAGGGCAUGUUGUGAUGUGAUAUGGUCAAGACAUGAUGCUAAAUUUUAUUGUAUGAGAUGAUCAUGUUUUGUAACUGAGUUAUCGGCAACUGGCAGGAGCCAUAUGGUUGUCGCUUUAUUGUAUGCAAUGCAAUCGCGCUGUAAUGCUUUACUUUAUCACUAAGCGGUAGCGAUAGUCGUGGAAGCAUAAGAUUGGCGAGACGGCAACGAUACUACGAUGGAGGUCAAGGUGUCGCGCCGGUGACGAUGGUGAUCACGACGGUGCUUCGGAGAUGGAGAUCACAAGCACAAGAUGAUGAUGGCCAUAUCAUAUCACUUAUAUUGAUUGCAUGUGAUGUUUAUCUUUUAUGCAUCUUAUCUUGCUUUGAUUGACGGUAGCAUUAUAAGAUGAUCUCUCACUAAAUUUCAAGAUAAAAGUGUUCUCCCUGAGUAUGCACCGUUGCCAAAGUUCGUCGUGCCCAGACACCGCGUGAUGAUCCGGUGUGAUAAGCUCUACGUCCAUCUACAACAGGUGCAAGCCAGUUUUGCACACACAGAAUACUCAGGUUAAACUUGACGAGCCUAGCAUAUGCAGAUAUGGCCUCGGAACACCGAGAUCGAAAGAUCGAGCGUGAAUCAUAUAGUAGAUAUGAUCAACAUAGCGAUGUUCACCAUUGAAAACUACUCCAUUUCACGUGAUGAUCGGUUAUGGUUUAGUUCAUUUGGAUCACGUGAUCACUUAGAUGAUUAGAGGGAUGUCUAUUUAAGUGGGAGUUUAAGUAAUAUGAUUAAUUGAACCUAAAUUUAUCAUGAACUUAGUACCUGAUAGUAUCUUGCUUGUUUAUGUAUGAUUGUAGAUAAAUGGCCCGUGUUGUUGUUGCGUUGAAUUUUAAUGCGUUCCUUGAGAAAGCAAAGUUGAAAGAUGAUGGUAGCAAUUACACGGACUGGGGCCGUAACUUGAGGAUUAUCCUCAUUGCUGCACAGAAGAAUUACGUCCUGGAAGCACCGCUAGGUGCCAGGCCUGCUGCUGGAGCAACACCAGAUGUUGUGAACAUUUGGCAGAGCAAAGCUGAUGACUACUCGAUAGUUCAGUGUGCCAUGCUUUACGGCUUAGAAUCGGGACUUCAACGACGUUUUGAACAUCAUGGAGCAUAUGAGAUGUUCCAGGAGUUGAAGUUAAUAUUUCAAGCAAAUGCCCGGAUUGAGAGAUAUGAAGUCUCCAAUAAAUUCUAUAGCUGCAAGAUGGAGGAGAACAGUUCUGUCAGUGAGCAUAUACUCAAAAUGUCUGGGUAUAAUAAUCACUUGAUUCAGAUGGGAGUUAAUCUUCCAGAUGAUUGCGUCAUUGACAGAAUUCUCCAAUCACUGCCACCAAGCUACAAGAGCUUUGUGAUGAACUAUAAUAUGCAAGGGAUGAACAAUACUUUUCCCGAACUCUUCUCAAUGCUGAAAGCUGCAGAGGUAGAAAUCAAGAAGGAGCAUCAAGUGUUGAUGGUCAACAAGACCACUAGUUUCAAGAAAAAGGGCAAAGGGAAGAAGAAGGGGAACUUCAAGAAGAAAAGCAAGCAAGUUGCUGAUCAGGAGAAGAAACCCAAAUCUGGACCUAAGCCUGAAACUGAGUGCUUCUACUGCAAGCAGACUGGUCACUGGAAGCGGAACUGCCCCAAGUAUUUGGCGUAUAAGAAGGAUGGCAAGGUGAACAAAGGUAUAUGUGAUAUACAUGUUAUUGAUGUGCACCUUACUAGAGCUCGCAGUAGCACCUGGGUAUUUGAUACUGGUUCUGUUGCUAAUAUUUGCAACUCGAAACAGGGACUACGGAUUAAGCGAACACUGGCAAAGGACGAGGUGAUGAUGCGCGUGGGAAAUGGUUCUAAAGUCGAUGUGAUCGCGGUCGGCACGCUACCUCUACAUCUACCUUCGGGAUUAAUAUUAGACCUAAAUAAUUGUUAUUUGGUGCCUGCGUUGAGCAUGAACAUUAUAUCUGGAUCUUGUUUAAUGCGAGACGGUUAUUCAUUUAAAUCAGAGAAUAAUGGUUGUUCUGUUUAUAUGAGUAAUAUCUUUUAUGGUCAUGCACCUUUGAAGAGUGGUCUAUUUUCGAUGAAUCUCGAUAUUAGUGACACACAUAUUCAUAAUGUUGAAGCCAAAAGAUGUAGAGUUGAUAAUGAUAGUGCAACUUAUUUGUGGCACUGCCGUUUAGGUCAUAUCGGUGUAAAGCGCAUGAAGAAACUCCAUACCGAUGGACUUUUGGAACCUCUUGAUUAUGAAUCACUUGGUACUUGCGAACCAUGCCUUAUGGGCAAGAUGACUAAAACACCGUUCUCCGGUACAAUGGAGAGAGCAACAGAUUUGUUAGAAAUCAUACAUACAGAUGUAUGUGGUCCGAUGAAUGUUGAGGCUCGUGGCGGAUAUCGUUAUUUUCUCACCUUCACAGAUGAUUUAAGCAGAUAUGGGUAUAUCUACUUAAUGAAGCAUAAGUCUGAAACAUUUGAAAAGUUCAAAGAAUUUCAGAGUGAAGUUGAAAAUCAUCGUAACAAGAAAAUAAAGUUUCUGCGAUCUGAUCGUGGAGGAGAAUAUUUGAGUUACGAGUUUGGUCUACAUCUGAAACAAUGCGGAAUAGUUUCACAACUCACGCCACCCGGAACACCUCAGCGUAAUAUGGUGUCCGAACGUCGUAAUCGUACUUUACUUGAUAUGGUGCGAUCUAUGAUGUCUCUUACAAAUUUACCGCUAUCAUUUUGGGGUUAUGCUUUAGAGACGGCCGCGUUCACGUUAAAUAGGGCACCAUCAAAAUCCGUUGAGACGACACCUUAUGAACUGUGGUUUGGCAAGAAACCAAAGUUGUCGUUUCUUAAAGUUUGGGGCUGCGAUGCUUAUGUGAAAAAGCUUCAACCUGAUAAACUCGAACCCAAAUUGGAGAAAUGUGUCUUCAUAGGAUACCCAAAGGAGACUGUUGGGUACACCUUCUAUCACGGAUCCGAAGGCAAGACAUUCGUUGCUAAGAAUGGAUCCUUUCUAGAGAAGGAGUUUCUCUCGAAAGAAGUGAGUGGGAGGAAAGUAGAACUUGAUGAGGUAACCGUACCUGCUCCCUUAUUGGAAAGUGGUGCAUCACAGAAAACUGUUUCUGUGACACCUACACCAAUUAGUGAGGAAGCUAAUGAUAAUGAUCAUGAAACUUCAGAACAAGAUACUACUGAACCUCGUAGAUCAACCAGAGUGAGAUCCGCACCAGAGUGGUACGGUAAUCCUGUUCUGGAAAUCAUGCUACUAGAUCAUGAUGAACCUACGAACUAUGAAGAAGUGAUGGUGAGCCCAGAUUCCGUAAAAUGGCUUGAGGCCAUGAAAUCUGAGAUGGGAUCCAUGUAUGAGAACAAAGUAUGGACUUUGGUUGACUUGCCCGAUGAUCGGCAAGCAAUUGAGAAUAAAUGGAUCUUCAAGAAGAAGACUGACGCUGACGGUAAUAUUACUGUCUACAAAGCUUGACUUGUCGCAAAAGGUUUUCGACAAGUUCAAGGGGUUGACUAUGAUGAGACCUUCUCACCCGUAGCGAUGCUUAAGUCUGUCCGAAUCAUGUUAGCAAUUGCCGCAUUUUAUGAUUAUGAAAUUUGGCAGAUGGAUGUCAAAACUGCAUUCCUGAAUGGAUUUCUGGAAGAAGAGUUGUAUAUGAUGCAACCGGAAGGUUUUGUCGAUCCAAAGGGAGCUAACAAAGUGUGCAAGCUCCAGCGAUCCAUUUAUGGACUGGUGCAAGCCUCUCGGAGUUGGAAUAAAUGCUUUGAUAGUGUGAUCAAAGCAUUUGGUUUUAUACAGACUUUUGGAGAAGCCUGUAUUUACAAGAAAGUGAGUGGGAGCUCUGUAGCAUUUCUGAUAUUAUAUGUGGAUGACAUAUUACUGAUUGGAAAUGAUAUAGAAUUUCUAGAUAGCAUAAAGGGAUAUUUGAAUAAGAGUUUUUCAAUGAAAGACCUCGGUGAAGCUGCUUACAUAUUAGGCAUAAAGAUCUAUAGAGAUAGAUCAAGACGCUUAAUUGGACUUUCACAAAGCACAUACCUUGACAAGAUUUUGAAGAAGUUCAAAAUGGAUCAAGCAAAGAAAGGGUUCUUGCCUGUGUUACAAGGUGUGAAGUUGAGUCAGAGUCAAUGCCCGACCACUGCAGAAGAUAGAGAGAAAAUGAAAGAUGUUCCCUAUGCGUCAGCCAUAGGCUCUAUCAUGUAUGCAAUGCUAUGUACCAGACCUGAUGUGUGCCUUGCUAUAAGUCUAGCAGGGAGGUACCAAAGUAAUCCAAGAGUGGAUCACUGGACAGCGGUCAAGAACAUCCUGAAGUACCUGAAAAGGACUAAGGAUAUGUUUCUCGUAUAUGGAGGUGACAAAGAGCUCAUCGUAAACGGUUACGUUGAUGCAAGCUUUGACACUGAUCCGGACGAUUCUAAAUCGCAAACCGGAUACGUGUUUACAUUAAACGGUGGAGCUGUCAGUUGGUGCAGUUCUAAACAGAGCGUCGUGGCGGGAUCUACGUGUGAAGCGGAAUACAUAGCUGCUUCGGAAGCAGCGAAUGAAGGAGUCUAGAUGAAGGAGUUCAUAUCCGAUCUAGGUGUCAUACCUAGUGCAUCGGGUCCAAUGAAAAUCUUUUGUGACAAUACUGGUGCAAUUGCCUUGGCAAAGGAAUCCAGAUUUCACAAGAGAACCAAGCACAUCAAGAGACGCUUCAAUUCCAUCCGGGAUCUAGUCCAGGUGGGAGAUAUAGAGAUUUGCAAGAUACAUACGGAUCUGAAUGUAGCAGACCCGUUGACUAAGCCUCUUCCACGAGCAAAACAUGAUCAACACCAAGGCUCCAUGGGUGUUAGAAUCAUUACUGUGUAAUCUAGAUUAUUGACUCUAGUGCAAGUGGGAGACUGAAGGAAAUAUGCCCUAGAGGCAAUAAUAAAGUUAUUAUUUAUUUCCUUAUAUCAUGAUAAAUGUUUAUUAUUCAUGCUAGAAUUGUAUUAACCGGAAACAUAAUACAUGUGUGAAUACAUAGACAAACAGAGUGUCACUAGUAUGCCUCUACUAGACUAGCUAGUUAAUCAAAGAUGGUUAUGUUUCCUAACCAUGGACAAAGAGUUGUUAUUUGAUUAACGGGAUCACAUCAUUAGGUGAAUGAUCUGAUUGACAUGACCCAUUCCAUUAGCUUAGCACCCGAUCAUUUAGUAUGUUGCUAUUGCUUUCUUCAUAACUUAUACAUGUUCCUAUGACUAUGAGAUUAUGCAACUCCCGUUUACCAGAGGAACACUUUGUGUGCAACCAAACGUCACAACGUAACUGGGUGAUUAUAAAGGUGCUCUACAGGUGUCUCCAAAGGAACAUGUUGGGUUGGUGUAUUUCGAGAUUAGGAUUUGUCACUCUGAUUGUCGGAGAGGUAUCUCUGGGCCCUCUCGGUAAUGCACAUCACUUAAGCCUUGCAAGCAUUGCAACUAAUGAGUUAGUUGCGGGAUGAUGUAUUACAGAACGAGUAAAGAGACUUGCCGGUAACAAGAUUGAACUAGGUAUGGGAUACCGACGAUCGAAUCUCGGGCAAGUAACAUACCGAUGACAAAGGGAACAACGUAUGUUGUUAUGCGGUCUGACCGAUAAAAGAUCUUCGUAGAAUAUGUAGGAGCCAAUAUGAGAAUCCAGGUUCCGCUAUUGGUUAUUGACCGGAGACGUGUCUCGGUCAUGUCUACAUUGUUCUCGAACCCGUAGGGUCCGCAUGCUUAAGGUUACGAUGACAAUUAUAUUAUGAGUUUAUGCAUUUUGAUGUACCGAAGGUUGUUCGGAGUCCCGGAUGUGAUCACGGACAUGACGAGGAGUCUCGAAAUGGUCGAGACAUAAAUAUUGAUAUAUUGGAAGCCUAUGUUUGGAUAUCGGAAGUGUUCCAGGUGAAAUCGGGAUUUUACCGGAGUACCGGGAGGUUACCGGAACCCCCCGGGAGGUAUAUGGGCCUUAGUGGGCCUUAGUGGAAGAGAGGAGAGGUGGCCAGAGAUGGGACGCGCGCCCCUCCCCCCCUUGGUCCGAAUUGGACAAGGAGAGGGGGCCGGCCCCCCUUCCUCCUCUCUCUCCUCUUUCCCCCCCUCCACGAAUCCUAUUCCAACUAGGAAAGGCGCGCCUCUCCUGGCCGGCAGGCGCCUCUCCUGGCCAGCAGGCCCCCCUCCCUUGAACCUUUAUAUACGGAGGCAGGGGCACCCCCUAGAGACACAAGUUGAUCCACGUGAUCAUAUUCUUAGCCGUGUGCGGUGCCCCCUUCCACCAUAGUCCUCGAUAAUAUUGUAGCGGUGCUUAGGCGAAGCCCUGUGACGGUAGUACAUCAAGAUCGUCACCACGCCGUCGUGCUGACGGAAAUCUUCCCCGACACUUUGCUGGAUCGGAGUCCGGGGAUCGUCAUCGAGCUGAACGUGUGCUAGAACUCGGAGGUGCCAUAGUUUCGGUGCUUGAUCGGUCGGGCCGUGGAGACGUACGACUACAUCAACCAAACGCUUCCGUUGUCGAUCUACAAGGGUACGUAGAUCAUACUCUCCCCUCUCAUUGCUAUGCAUCACCAUGAUCUUGCGUGUGCGUAGGAAUUUUUUUGAAAUUACUACGUUUCCCAACAGAGAGUCAGGUUUCGAUCAUGUGGAACUUAUGGGUUAUGGGCCCACCAUGUGGGUUAAAACAAGGAAGGGCGUUAACAGCUGAUACGUCUCCAACGUAUCUAUAAUUUUUGAUUGCUUGCUAUAUUACCUACUGUUUUGGACUAUAUUGGGCUUUAUUUUCCACUUUUAUAUUAUUUUUGGGACUAACCUAUUAACCGGAGGCCCAGCCCAGAAUUGCUGUUUUUUGCCUAUUUCAGUGUUUUGGAGAAACAGAAUAUCAAGUGGGGUCCAAACGGAACGAAACCUUUGGGAGCGCGAUUUUCUCAUCAGAUAAGACCCAAGAGACUUGGACCCUCCGUCAAGAAAGCCACGAGGCAGUCAUGAGGGUGGAGGGCGCCCCCCCUAGGGCGCGCCCCCUGCCUCGUGGGCCCCUCGAAGCUCCACCGACGUAUUCCUUCCUCCUAUAUAUACCUACGUACCCCCAAACGAUCAGAUAUGGAGCCAAAAACCUAAUUCCACCACCGCAACUUUCUGUAUCCACGAGAUCCCAUCUUGGGGCCUGUUCCGGAGCUCUGACGGAGGGGGCAUCGAUCACGGAGGGCUUCUACAUCAUCAUCCAAGCCCCUCCGAUGAAGUGUGAGUAGUUCACUUCAGACCUACGGGUCCAUAGUUAGUAGCUAGAUGGCUUCUUCUCUCUUUUUGGAUCUCAAUACAAUGUUCUCCCCCUCUCUCAUGGAGAUCUAUUCGAUGUAAUCUUCUUUUUGCGGUGUGUUUGUUGAGACCGAUGAAUUGUGGGUUUAUGAUCCAGUCUAUCUAUGAAUAAUAUUUGAAUCUUCUCUGAAUUCUUUUAUGUAUCAUUUGUUAUCUUUGUAAGUCUCUUCAAAUUAUCAGUUUGGUUUGGCCUACUAGAUUGGUUUUUCUUACCAUGGGAGAAGUGCUUAGCUUUGGGUUCGAUCUUGCGGUGUCCUUUCCCAGUGACAGAAGGGGCAGCAAGGCAUGUAUUGUAUUGUUGCCAUCGAGGAUAACAAGAUGGUUUUUUUAUCAUAUUGCAUGAAACUAUCCCUCUACAUCAUGUCAUCUUGCUUAAGGCGUUACUCUGUUUUUAACUUAAUACUCUAGAUGCAUGCUGGAUAGCGGUCGAUGAGUGGAGUAAUAGUAGUAGACGUAGGCAGGAGUCGGUCUACUUGUGUCGGACGUGAUGCCUAUAUACAUGAUCAUACCUAGAUAUUCUCAUAACUAUGCUCAAUUCUGUCAAUUGCUCAACAGUAAUUUGUUCACCCACCGUAGAAUACUUAUGCUCUUGAGAGAAGCCACUAGUGAAACCCAUGGCCCCCGGGUCUCUUUCUCAUCAUAUCAAUCUCCAUCACUUUAUUAUUGCUUUGCUUUUUACUUUUCACUUUGCGUCUCUAUACCAAAAAUACCAAAAAUAUUAUUUAUCAUCUCUAUCAGAUCUCACUUUCGUAAGUGACCGUGAAGGGAUUGACAACCCCUAAGCACGUUGGUUGCGUUGAGCUACUGUUUUUGUGUAGGUACGAGGAACUCACGCGUAGCCUCCUACUGGACUGAUACCUUGGUUCUCAAAAAUUGAGGGUAAUACUUACGCUACUUUACUGCAUCAUCCUCUCCUCUUCGGGGAAAUCCAACGCAGUGCUCAAGAGGUAGCAACAACUUGCAUGACCAUGAUAGCAAGGCAUGUCAGAGAAUAUCCGGUCAGUUAUGUUGGCAACAUCGUUGGUACCAAGGGCGAGGGACGAAGAGAACCAUUUUCCUACUCGUUGAACGAGGCAGACCAAUAGGCAAAGUUCUCAUCCGUCGGUGGUUACCGGAAUGUCAUCAACAAUAGUAACAGGUCCUUACUGACAGAGUUGUACACCAAGGUGUUUACAUAAGCAGGAGAAUAUUACUGCUUAGAUCAUAUAGAUCACCAGAAAGGUUAAACAAAUCAAUGAAAAGGAAAAGGUGACCAUCAGAUUAAACAAAACAAUGGAAAGGAAAAUGUGUUUAAACACAUUUUUCAGGGGUAUAUCCUUCACAAGGACAAGCAAAGAAUGGUAUCCAUGACAGGAUAUAACGUAGAAAACCCUUUAGGAAAGGGGAGAGGAAUUUCAUGACAUUACCCAUUGAUACGUCUCCAACGUAUCUAUAAUUUUUUUAUUAUUCCAUGCUAUUAUAUUAUCUGUUUUGGAUGUUUAAUGGGCUUUAUUAUACACUUCUAUAUUAUUUUUGGGACUAACCUACUAACCCAAGGCCCAGUGCAAAUUGCUGUUUUUUGCCUAUUUCAGUGUUUCGCAGAAAAGGGAUAUCAAACAGAAGCCAAACGGAAUGAAACCUUCAGGAGAGUUAUUUUUGGAACAAACGUGAUCCAGGAGACUUGGAGUAGACGUCAAGAAAGAAGCGAGGUGGCCACAAGGCAAGGAGGCACGCUUGCCCCCCUGGGUGCGCCCCCUCCCUCAUGGGCCCCUCGCAGCUCCACCGACCUACUUCUUCCUCCUAUAUAUAUCCAUAUACCCCGAAAACAUCCAGGAGCACCAUGAAACCCUAUUUCCACCGCCGCAACCUUCUGUACCCAAGAGAUCCCAUCUUGGGGCCUUUUUCGGAGCUCCGACGGAGGGGGAAUCGAUCACGGAGGGCUUCUAUGUCAACACCAUAGCCUCUCCGAUGAUGGGUGAGUAGUUUACCACAGACCUUUGGGUCCAUAGUUAUUUGCUAGAUGGCUUCUUCUCUCUCUUUGGAUCUCAAUACAAAGUUCUCUUCGAUCUUCUUGGAGAUCUGUUUGAUCUAACUCUUGCGGUGUGUUUUACGAGAUCCGAUGAAUUGUGGGUUUAUGAUCAAGUUUAUCUAUGAAGAAUAUUUGAUUCUUCUCUAAAAUGUUUUAUGUAUGAUUGGUUAUCUUUGCAAGUCUCUUCGAAUUAUCAGUUUGGUUUGGUCUACUAGAUUGAUCUUUCUUGCAAUGGGAGAAGUGCUUAGCUUUUGGUUCAAUCUUGCGGUGUCCUUUCCCAGUGACAGCAGGGGCAGCAAGGCACGUAUUGUAUUGUUGCCAUCGAGGAUAAAAAGAUGGGGUUUAUAUCAUAUUGCUUGAGUUUAUCCCUCUACAUCAUGUCAUCUUGCCUAAUGCGUUACUCUGUUCUUAUGAACUUAAUACUCUAGAUGCAUGCUGGAUAGUGGUCCCUGUGUGGAGUAAUAGUAGUAGAUGCAGAAUCGUUUCGGUCUACUUGUCACGAACGUGAUGACUAUAUACAUGAUCAUGCCUAUAUAUUCUCAUAAUUAAGCACUUUUCUAUCAAUUGCUCGACAGUAAUUUGUUCACCCACCGUAAUACUUAUGCUAUCUUGAGAGAAGCCACUAGUGAAACCUAUGGCCCCCGGGUCUAUCUUUUAUCAUAUAAGUUUCCAAUUUACUUUGCAAUCUUUACUUUCGAUCUAUAUCAUAAAAAUACCAAAAAUAUUUAUCUUAUUAUCUCUAUCAGAUCUCACUCUCGUAAGUGACCAUGAAGGGAUUGACAACCCCUUUAUCGCGUUGGUUGCGAGGUUCUUAUUUGUUUGUGUAGGUACGAGGGACUUGCGUGUAGUCCCCUACUGGAUUGAUACCUUGGUUCUCAAAAACUAAGGGAAAUACUUACACUACUUUGCUGCAUCACCCUUUCCUCUUCAAGGGAAAACCAACGCAGUGCUCAAGAGGUAGCCCCCAUACAACGGUGUUUGGAUAAUUGAUAAAGAAAUUUUAGCAUUGUGCUUCAAAUGUUCUUAUUGAAAAUCAUAGUACCACAGACAUGCUUCGAGAUAGCAUUAACAUGGUCAUUAGGUGAAGAUCAGACUUUGGAAACACAAAGGAUCCAUCAGGAACAACGUAUAGAAUAAGCGUUACAAUUUCCUCGGGGAAUAAUGGAUAACCUUGCUAAAAAGGAAACUAUAACAAUAGGUCCUUCGGCCAGGUGUGUUAGGCAUGACCUCACCUUACUGGUUCAUAUAAAGACCAAUUAUUAUAACUCUUGGAAAUAUGUUCCAACCAUCAUAUCUGACCAAGAUUCAAAUCUGAUUGGUGUUAGGAUACCUCAGACUCAUGAUGCCUCAGAAGGAAUGGGUGCAACACAGUUUGACGAGAUGGCGUUGCGAGAUUCUCGGGAAAUGAACUAUGGAAGCAAGUUCUUAAUCAUGAGUUCAUCAUUAAACCAAGGAGAGGAUGAGAUGGCUGAUGGACUCAGCAACAAUUCAUUGAGAUUUCCAAAAAUAUGGAUUUCCACGAUUAUGUGAACAAGGGAUAACAUUUGUCAGAUCAAAUGAUAUAAUGAUGUAUGCUCGAGGAGAACAUCCAAGAGCAAACAUUGGUUGAAAGGUGCACCCGAAAUAUGGGCUUAGGUAGCAUGAUCAAUGUUAGUAUGGUUAUUUGAUAACCAAUACACAAAGAAUGAAACUAUCAUUCAUUAACUUACAAGAAACAGGGUUGCUAGAAGUUUUGAAAAUUUCACAUCACAGUCCAUUUGUCAGUAUUCUGGUUGGAAAUAAUGCCGGGACUAAGGAAUGAAGGGAGAUGGCAAGAAGUAUCACUUGUAUCAAGAAUUUUUAAGAGGUGGUGAAAUUCUCAGGACAUUCUUGACAUAAAAGAUGGUAAUACUCCAAGGUAAAGAAGAACAAAUGCUAGAUAGCAAGGAUCUCAAGGUAUAACACAAAACAUGAACAAGUUUGUGUUGAACGGAAGGCAAUAAAGUGGUCGAUGAUAACACAAAUAAUUUAGGGCAAGGAUGGUAUUUCUCAUCAUGAAUUCAAUUGAUAUCCUGGAAGAGCUCAGAAUGCUGAUGAUGAUCAUGACACAUUUGUCGAGAGAUUUCAUGAAGAUGUAAUCGAUCGGCGAUGGCAUCAAGUCAAAGGAAUGAUGAAGCGAAUGGCUAUUGGAACCAUGAGUACGGCACAAACUCGAAAUUGAGUUUGUUUUUCAAGGAGAAAUUAUAUGACAAGGAAAAUCUAUGUAAGAUUAGCUCACCGUUGAAAUUUGUGCUAUAGGAAGAAGGACCAGGUAGCACAGUUAAAAUCAGCACGAUAAUGAUAUAGCCGAUUGGGCUAGGAAUGACUUGAAGGAUUAUUAAACUCAUAGGCAACAAAAAUUACUUAGGGUUAUCGAACCGGAAUGCGGAAUCUGUUCACAUAUCAGUGUUCUCGGUUGACGACAACCCAGAACCCAUGAAAAAUUGGAAUCAGUGAGAAAUAAUAGCUGAUGAAGACUCAUAAGAUGCAACACAGUUCUUAGAUAUUCUCGAGAUACCAGAGGGUAAUACUCGACGGUAGAUCAAAGUAGAGGUUGGACUGGUGUAAUGACUUGCAAAAGACAAGUGCUUUAACUUGUCCGAGAAAUGGGAUCAAAGAAGAGCAUGGUCGAAACCACGAUUGCAAAGGAUCAAUUCACUGAUACCAAAUGAUAUUAUAUCAAGGAAAUAUUUUUUAUUACAAGAAGCUUCCAUGAUAGGAUCUACAUCAUGUCCGUGGGCAUGAACACAAGUUCAAGGUCGACUCCCACCUCUUCAAUGUAUAACCUUCCAUUCACCUCUCUCUUUCUGAAAAUGACAUUAGUUGUUGAAAGUCUUACCUGGUACAAUACCAGAUAAGUAUGACCCGUGAAAUAUUUCGGGUUCACACAGAUUAAGGAAGGCAUAGGUUCAACCCAUCGGGGCAUCGUAGAAACAUAUGCAACAAACAUCAGGAGUAAAUAACACAAGCUCGAAAGUAGAGCAUGGUUGACAAAGCAGAGGAUACAAUUUACCAAAGGCAUUAUGUAUUAGGGAAAGAACUUUCCAAGGUUUUUGUAAACGAAGGACAAUUUCAGAUGAUAAAUUUAACAAAGGAUCUGACGGUCCAUAACGGAGCUGAUGUGAACAUCGGUACCCAACCAAAAUAAGAAGGGAUGCAAGGAGAUCAGAUUAUAGAAACAACUGACUAAUUGAAACUCAAAUGCAAAGGAAUUAUGAUUUCCGAAUCAAAUGAUCAGAAGUAACACUCUGAUUAAGGAUGGAUAAGUUGGAUAGACUUAGGGGUACAAUCGAUGACAAUUUGAUUGGUCGAGAACCAGCUCACGUUCAAAAUGACGUCUGAGUCAGGAGGAUGAAUUCUAGGAUCUGUCUGAGGAUUGCGAGCAUUCGCAACAUAUUGAAUCAAGGGACUUAGACUGAUAGUGACAAAGAAUGUCAACGGAGAUUACCAGAAAUAUGAAAUUAACCAUAAUGCAUGAAGGCAAGAAAUUCAGGAUCAAUAGGCUGCUGAGGAUUUUCAGAAGAUCAAAUAGUUUCUCAAAGAACUUUGUGAAACACACGAACAAAUAGAUGAACAAAUCCUCGGUAAAUGUGAGGAAUUAUUCAUAGGGGUAUUCAUGCGGCAAAGAUCUGCAAGGCAGUAGGGACAAAGUACUCUUGAGCAAUAGAGAGAAUUUCGGGGUAUCUUGUAAUAACAAGAUCAACGGGGAAUGAUUGUAUGAAUGACAAGUGUACAUGGUUAUCCAAAAGGGUUUAGCAAUGGAAAGGAAUUGCUGAAACGAUGGCACAAAGUCUCAAUAGAACAUCAGAGAGUAUCUUCGGAAUCUUGUGGUGCAGCAGUCGAUCAUCGAUAAUAAGGUGCUCCCCGGGUGAAAGUGAUCACGCGAUCCUAAUGUUAGAUUUAGCAAAAUUCAUUUAAACCGAAUAGAAGAGAGAUCAAAGUCCCAAAGUAUAGACGAGAAAUAAAAGAUCCUGAUACAACCCAAUGGCAGCAUGGGCCCAUGGGCCGCACAACCAUGUUAGUAAAACAAUUUUCAUCGACUAGACUCGACCUUCAGCCAAGGAGUGUGGAAGGGGAUUCCUACAGGCAGUCGGCUCUGAUACCAACUUUUGACGCCCUCGAUUUUACCAUACACUAAUCAUACACGCAAAUGUGUACGAUCAUGAUCAAGGACUCACUGAAAGAUAUCACAACACAACUCUAGACACAAAUUAAAAUAAUACAAGCUUUAUAUUACAAGCCAGGGGCCUCGAGGGCUCGAACACAUAAGCUCGAAUACACGAGUCAGCGGAAGCAAUAAUAUCUAAGUACACACAUAAGUUAAACAAAUUUGCCUUAAGAAGGCUAGCACAAACUGGGAUACGGAUCGAAAGAGGCGCAUGUCUCAUGCCUGGGAUCCUCCUAAACUACUCCCAGUCAUCGUCAGUGGCCUGCACGUAGUAGUAGGCACCUCCAGUGUAGUACGAGUCAUCGUCGACGGUGGCAUUUGGCUCCUGGACUCCAACGUCUGGUCGCAACAACCGGGUAUAGAAAGGGGAAAAGGGGAAGCAAAGCAACCGUGAGUACUCAUCCCAAGUACUUGUAAGCAAGGAGCUACACUACAUAUGCAUUUGUAUCAAUGAAAGGGGUAGUAUAUGUGGACUGAACUGCAGAAUGCCAGAAUAAGAGGGGGAUAGCUAGUCCUAUCAAAGACUACGCUUCUGGCAGCCUCCAUCUUGAAGCAGUAGAAGAGAGUAGAUGGUAAGUUAACCAAGUAACAUCGCAUAGCAUAAUCCUACCCGAUGAUCCUCCCCUCGUCGCCCUAGGAGAGAGCGAUCACUGGGUUGUAUCUGGCACUUGGAAGGGUGUAUUUUAUUAAGUAUCUGGUUCUAGUUGUCAUAAGGUCAAGGUACAACUUCGGGUCAUCCUUUUACCGAGGGACACGACUAUUCGAAUAGAUAAACUUCCCUGUAGGGGUGCACCACAUUUCCCAACACGCUCGAUCCCCUUUGGCCGGACACACUUUCCUGGGUCAUGCCCGGCCUUGGAAGAUCAACAUGUCGCAGCCCUACCUAGGCACAACAGAGAGGUCAGCACGCCGGUCUAAAUCAUAUGGCGCAGGGGUCUGGGUGCAUCGCCCGUUGCACACCUGCAUGUUGCGAACGUGGCCGGAAGCAGACCUAGCCUCCCUAAUACAAGAGCAAGCGUUCCAGUCCAAUCCGGCGCGCGUCGCUCAGUCGCUGACGUCAAGAAGGCUUUGGCUAAUACCGCGACGUCGAGUGCCCAUAACUGUUCCCGCAUAGUUGGUUAGUGCGUAUAGGCUAGUGGCCAGACUCAGAUCAAAUACCAAGAUCUCGUUAAGCGUGUUAAUUGAUGUAACCGCGGACGCCGACCAGGGCCAGGCCCACCUCUCUCUCCUAGGUGGUCUCAACCUGCCCUGUCGCUCCGCCACAAAGUAAAAGUUAGGGGGCCAUCGGGAACUCAGGCCCACCACUACCUGGAUGGAGCCACCUAUCCUUUCAGCCCCCACAUCGGAAUCACUUGCGAGUACUCUACGAGCCGACCCAACUUUAGUCACCACAUGUAUCACAUAUUAUGUAUAUAAGUAUAUACCCGUGAUCACCUCCCAAGUGAUCACGACCCGAUAGUAUAGCAUGGCAGACGGACAAGAAUGUAGGGCCACUGAUGGAAUACUAGCGUCCUAUACUAAGCAUUUAGGAUUGCAGGUAGAGGUAACAAUAGUAGUAGCAAGGACAGGCUAUGCAUUAGAAUAGGAUUAACGGGAAGCAGUAACAUGCUACACUACUAUAAUGCAAGCAGUAGAGAGAAGAAUAGGCGAUAUCUGGUGAUCAGGGGGGGCUUGCCUGGUUGCUUUGGCAAGAAGGAAGGGUUGUCAACACCGUAGUCGAGCUGGGGGUCGCCGGCAGUCUCGGGGUCUACCAGAAAGAAGUAACAGAGGGGAAACACAAUAAAUAACAAAGCAAUCAAAGCAUCACAAAGUAUAACAUGGCAAUACGCGGUUCUAUGGGUGACCUAAUGCAGUACUAGGUGAUACCGCGAAGGAGGAAAACAUCCGGGAAAGUAUUCCCGAUGUUUCGCGUUUUCGGACAGAUGAACCGGAGGGGGAAAGUUGCAUGUUUGCUAUGCUAGGGAUGUGUGGCGGACGAACAGGCUGCGAUCUCAGAUUCGUCUCGUCGUUUUGAGAAACUUUCAUGUACAAAGUAUUUUCAUCCGAGUUACGAUUUAUUUUCUAUGAUUUCUCAAAGUUUUUAGGCAUUUUUGUAAGUUUAUUUAAUUAUUUAAAUGAAACAUUAUUCGGAAUAGUGAAAGGUGAUGUCAGCAUGACGCCACCAGGUCAAACCCAGCUGACCAGAGUCAAACCUGGCAUGUGGGUCCAGUGGGACCCACCUCUCAUAGACUAAGGCUAACUAAACAUGUUUAAUUAGUUUAGUUAAUUGAUUAGGUUAAUCAAACACAAUUAAUUUAAUUAAUUAAUUAAUUAAUAUUUUUAUUUAUUUAUUAUUAGUCUUAAUUCUUCUUUUUAAUUCUUUUUUUCUAAUCGUUCUGGGGUGGGGCCCCUUGUCAUAGGCCCUAGAGGCCUUAACGUGGAGGGCGCUGCGGNNNNNNNNNNNNNNNNNNNNNNNNNNNNNNNNNNNNNNNNNNNNNNNNNNNNNNNNNNNNNNNNNNNNNNNNNNNNNNNNNNNNNNNNNNNNNNNNNNNNNNNNNNNNNNNNNNNNNNNNNNNNNNNNNNNNNNNNNNNNNNNNNNNNNNNNNNNNNNNNNNNNNNNNNNNNNNNNNNNNNNNNNNNNAGGGGGCUGUGGGGCACCGGCGGCCACUCUAGGGCGGAUGCAGAGAACAGCGGGGCCAGGGCAGCACGCCGGCGUGGAGCAGCUGAGGGCAUGUGCGCGCGGUCUCGGCGAGGUGCGGGCACGGCGGCCGUCAACGGGGAAGGCGGGUGCGACACGGUGGCACGUAGUAGCAGCAGAAGGGGUGCAGCAGUUGAGGCCGCGGGCACGUGAGCGGCUGCCGGCAAACAAGGUCAGGCAGAGCGGGAGCGGGACGGGGUACGUCGUCUGGGCGCGAGGACGCGAGCGCGUGUGCGCGUGAUGGUGCGCUGAGCGCGGGGGGCAGGGCCACGGCACGGCCAACGACGGCUACAAGGCGAGUCGGGCACGGUGGCUGGCGAGCAGCAGUGAAGGUGGUGGAGGGGGCCGCGGUAGACGCGGGGCAGAGGGAGAGACGGAGGAGGGUGAGGCCCUCACCGGCAAUGUAGAGACCAGGGGGCGGCGAGGCUCGAGGUGGCCUUUGGGGAGGAGGACGGGGAUGCAAGUUCCGAGGGCGUUGGUCGGCGACGAGCGUCGGCGGAGUGGCUCUGGGCGGCGUCGGCGGCGGUUCCUCGGGCGUGGGCGCGAUCGGGCGGCCGUGUACGGCGAGGCAACGGCGGGGGAUGGCUAUGGCAUGGGAGUGGUUGCGGAGGUGAGUGCAGGGGAGGGUGAGGCGAGCUCGGGGGAGGGGCAGGGUGUGGCCGGCGGGAGGAGCUGCGGGGUCGAGCGGGAGCGCUCAUGCUCAUCCUUGGCGGCGCGAGGUGGGUGGGGGUCGAGGGGAUCGUGCAGAUAGGGAGUGGGGGCGAGAGGUGCGAGGGUCUAGGGUUCGGUUGUAGGGAGGUUAUUGGGCAGUGGUGGGCCGACUGGGUGUGCGACCAGCUGGGCUGUGGCCUAGUUCGACCAGGGGCACUUUUCCUUUUUAUAUUACUUCAUUUUGUUUUUUAUUUAUUCUUUUUUGAUUUAUUUUUGUUUCUAUUUAUUUUAGUUUUAAGAAAAUACAAAAGUGACACCUAAUUUAGUGUUCAAAUUGUGCCUUUGCAACUAUUAAUUUAGCUCUUCAAAAUAAAAUGGUUUGUAAUAGUUUAUUCUUUUUAAAACCAUUUAAGUAAUUGUUUAGCCCCUGUUUUAAUUAAUUUCUUGCAUCUAAACAUUUUAUCAAAAUGUGGUUUCAUCAGCAUAAUUACCUAUGCAUUAUAUGUGUGACGCCCCCAUUUAAUCGUACACUAAUCAUACACGCGAACGUGUACGAUCAAGAUCAGGGACUCACGGGAAGAUAUCACAACACAACUCUACAAAUAAAAUAAGUCAUACAAGCAUCAUAUUACAAGCCAGGGGCCUCGAGGGCUCGAAUACAAGAGCUCAAUCAUAGACGAGUCAGCGGAAGCAACAAUAUCUAAGUACAGACAUAAGUUAAACAAGUUUGCCUUAAGAAGGCUAGCACAAACUAGGAUACAGAUCGAAAGAGGCGCAGGCCUCCUGCUUGGGAUCCUCCUAAACUACUCCUAGUCGCCGUCAGCGGGCUGCACGUAGUAGUAGGCACCUCCCGAGUAGUAGUAGUCGUCGUCGAAGGUGGCGUCUGGCUCCUGGGCUCCAACAUCUGGUUGCGACAACCAGCUAGAAGGGAUAGGGGGAAAAGAGGGAGAAAGCAACCGUGAGUACUCAUCCAAAGUACUCGCAAGCAAGGAGCUACACUACAUAUGUAUGCAUUGGUAUCAACUGGAAUAAGGCUAUUAUAUGUGGACUGAACUGCAGAAAGCCAGGAUAAGGGGGGAUAGCUAGUCCUUUCGAAGACUACGCUUCUGGUAGCCUCCGUCUUGCAGCAUGUAGAAGAGAGUAGACUGAAGUCCUCCAAGUAUCAUCACAUAGCAUAAUCCUAACCGAUGAUCCUCCCCUCGUCGCCCUGUGAGAGAGCGAUCACCAGUUGUAUCUGGCACUUGGAAGGGUGUGUUUUAUUAAGUAUCCGGUUCUAGUUGUCAUAAGGUCAAGGUACAACUCCAAGUCGUCCUCUUACCGAAGAUCACGGCUAUUCAAAUAUAUUAACUUCCCUGUAGGGGUGCACCACAUAUCCCAACACGCUCGAUCCCAUUUGGCCGGACACACUUUCCUGGGUCAUGCCCGGCCUCGGAAGAUCAACACGUCGCAGCCCUACCUAGGCACAACAGAGAGGUCAGCACGCCGGUCUAAAUCCUAUGGCGCAGGGGUCUGGGCCCAUCGCCCAUUGCACACCUGCAUGUUGUGUACGCGGCCGGAAGCGGAACUAGCCCCCUUAAUACAAGAGCAGGCUUACGGUCCAAUCCGGCGCGCGCCACUCAGUCGCUGACGUCACGAAGGCUUCGGCUGAUACCACGACGUCGAGUGCCCAUAACUGUCCCCGCGUAGAUGGUUAGUGCGUAUAGGCCAGUAGCUAGACUCAGAUCAAAUACCAAGAUCUCGUUAAACGUGUUAAGUAUCCGCUAGCUAUUGAAGCGGCAGUGUGACGUCGGCCCACUGCGGAAUGGGAGCCACCUAACUAUGAUUCGGUGAAGGUUCCACCUUCCUUCCACAAAUAUAGUUAUAGUAGUUCCACUCGAUGUGGAUCACGCCCAUGCUUGCUCAGCUCCAGGAUCAGGCUCCUAAACCCAUUUUCAAUAAUUAAGUCAUCUGGUCUAUGUUGUUGGAGUUCCGCAUGAUGCCUUAAUCCCACCUCUUUGUCUAAGGAAUAGCCUUUUCUUCUUUUCUUUAUUGUUCGUGGGAACAUGUAAGAUUAGCAAUGGAAAUUUAGCUACGGCCGUCCCUUCCUCAAGCAAACAACGCGAGACUUAGUUAACGAAACAGGAACUCCAUUCCUUGACACGAAUUUCUGAUACAGAAGUGGAAUCGAAAAAAUGCGGGAAAAAUGCACAUUCAAUAUUGAGAAAAUGUUGCGUAACUGCCCUUGCCUCAAGGUCUUGAGAAACCAGAAACUAGUGUUCGAUGGCCCAACAAAUCCUAUUGGUUUUCGCAGGGGAUGUCAUUUUUACAAGCUUUCGCAUGCUGAGCGUGACUAUGGAUUUUAUAUAGUUAUGGAAUAACCUUCUUAUCCGCGAGUUCUUCGGCCAAAGACUCCUGAUAUCGCUUGUUGGGCCCUUGAUUCCGAAGUACCAGUACCGAAGGCAGACUUGAAUGCAUUAGGUUGGGAAGCGGCCUAGAAGGUGCUUAAAGAUAGGUGACAGUUGUGAAAGUUUAGUCAACUUGUCGGCAGCAACUGACCUUUCUUUCAUCAAAAGUAGGAAUGAAAGCUGGCAUGCAGAUAAGGAAAUCUCUUUUCUUCUCUUCUACUCGGCUACGGACUUUCUAAAAGGAGAAGCAAUAAAUACAAAAGUGCUAGGUUUGGAUUUGAGUGAGAUCCCGGAUCGGUAGCUUCAGAUAUCCCCUCAGACUGGAAUGAGAAUUUCGAUAGAUUUCUUUGCUUUAAAGCAUAGUUGCAGGUAGGUUAUGCUCCUUUGCUUCAUCCCUAUAGUCUAAGGAUUGCCAAUCAAAUAGUAGCAGUAGACUAGCCAUAUUCAUCUUCUACAGUCUCCUGUUUCCCCCUAUUUAAAAUGGUAAGCCUACGCAGCAGAAAAAAAAGGCGCUCUAAUCGUACUCGAGCCCUUAAUCCCCCAAUAGGGCUUACUUACCCGAGUCAAUGCUUUCCUUCCUGUGCGAAAGCAAGGCCUCUUUCUCGACUUUACUUGAAUGCCAUUUACUGAGCUAUCUUCUUUUUUCUUCUUCUGGCGAAAGCACAUUUUAUUAUUUUACGGAAGCAAGAUGAAAGGUCAUUUCGCCAAUCUGGGGAAUAACAGUUAAAGCAAUCGAUCGGAGAAGCCCUCCCUAGUAUUGAGAAUGAAAAAGUGGAUUCAUUCCCCAGGCGUGUGUGUGUGCUUUCCACGGGCCUGAUCUCGAUUUCUUCUUAAGCUGUUAUGUCCUCCGAAGUGAAGUGGAUUGGUCGGAAGCUAGACUCCAACAACAUCGAUACUCAAAUAACCGACUCUCAUACAUGGCUUAGAACCUUCAAUCUUUAGCCAUUAUUCCCAGUUCAGGUGGUUAGGUACCAAAAGUUAUAAAUAGGCCCAAUUUCUCCUUUUAUACUAGAUUUCCUUAACAAGGGCAUCCAAUUCUUGAAACAAGUCACGCUCCCUUCUCUUUCCACUUUCACUUUCAUGCCCAGUUCUUUUUCGACUUGGCAAUCGUAGCAAUUUAUGUAAAGCCUCCUGAUCCGGAGAAACAUGCUCGAUACAUUCUAGUGAACUACGAAGAGAAGCUAGAACGGUGGAAGCCUGAAUCCAGUGAGUGCCCAUUCUUAAUAAACUUGGGAAUAGUAGCUCCUAUGGUUUCUAGAGCGAGUGAAUGAAACACUAUCUUCUUAUGAGCGGAGAUAGAGAGCUAUGUCACAAUCAAUAAGUGAGAUGCUGUGGGCGAGGAAUCUUCUGUCACAAUAGAGGUCUUCUUUUCGAAUUUAAGUGGGACUAGCUUCUUCCUCAAUUGAUAUUACUGACAAUCUAGCAAUUCCAUCCUUUAGAAGAAGAUAAGUAAACCAUUUCUUUGAAUUGCAUGAUUGAGUGAUGGAUGCGGACAAUCACAAGCCUACUUUGUUUAUAGAAAAGAGCGUAUAACCCCCGAUCCCUACCUGUUGUAGAGAAUAUAUCAUCUAAACUCUUCUGUGCCAUUUGCCGCCUAAUACACUAUUUUAGUAUAAUGUUGUUUGCUGGUACAUAUCUCUUGAUUGACUAUUUAUUGGUUAUUAAGCAUUAGUGAGCUGACCUAUGUACAAGUUCUGAGUCAACCCCCAGACAUGUAUCUCCUUGCCUUGUAAUCUCUCAUUCAUCUAUUUAUGUGCAUGCUUUAGCGAAGUCUCCAGCCCCAUAAAUAUUAGUUAAUGCAUGACGCGUAAAUCAAUAACUAAAACUAAAGUGUCGAUCAUCCCAUGCUACCACAGGAUUUUUCAACAACAUGACAUAUUGAGAAAAAUAUAUGUUAGAGCCGCCAUUUCUUUACGGUUACAUUAGUGUGGAUUGUUCUUCUGAUUCUUAUAGGCCUGGCACCCUAGCUUCGAUAGAUUUAUUUGAUUUUGCAAGCUAUGGCACAGGAAUGUGAUAUGGGUCGUAUCCCGCACCUCCCUUGAUUCCGUGUGAAAUCCAUCCAAAAAAGCACGAGUUGGAUCGGCGUAAAGAACAAGACGAACGUGGUAUUAUCUCUAUUAGGACGGUUAUGAGGCUCUGCUCUUUUUUUUCUUUAUUCAAUAUCUAUUCUUUGUUUCUUAUAUUCCGCUAAUUGUUAUCUUGAAUGUAUCUUUAUGCUUAAUAGAUAACUGGUGAUGCUAGAGCUGUCAAGAAGGCAUUGUUUUCAGUAUCAACCAUCAUCUACAAAUGCCCAUCAAAAGAGACCAUUUCUCUUGAAACUUCUGUCCCUCCAAGCAUUGUACAUCCUUCAGAGCUUCCUGUCUAUCCUGCUAGUAACUUCUACUCAGUGUCAGAUGCAGCUAUACCUUAUGGAAUGGACAUCCAAAUCUAGGUAUCUUAGCAAAGGAAGUGGCAUUCAAAUCUACAGGUUUUUCUUCUUUAGCCUUUUCGCCCAGCGUUGUCAUUAUUGACACGUUUUUGCGAUCCCUGUUUUUGAGAUCCUCAAUGACUACCACCAGAAAGGGAAUGUGACCACCAUUCUUAUUUGAUAAAAGUGUCUCCACUAUAGCACUAACGAUCCUAGACAGCAGAGAAAGCUUGAUUGGAGCUAAGAACUAUUUCUAAAGGAUCCCUUCCACUCUUGUGUGGAAAGAUCUUUCUUCAUUCAGUCCAGUCUAAUUUAAAACGUGUUGUCUACUAUUAUAGGGGCUGUCGUUAGGGUCACUCCUUCUUAUGCCGGGAGAUGGCAGUUAUCUAUAUUUAGAAAUAAUAAAGAAUAUGGGUGUGAUUGUCAUCACAAUGGAGUGAUCGAGUAAUCAGCCCUAUAGGUUCCUCUCUAUUUAGAUAGACCCCAUCAACAUGGCCAUUCCCUACUCCUGGUAGCAAAAACCCAUUAGAGGUUUGAUUCUCAAAAGAAAACAGACCAGAAACGAGGGGCCCACGAGGGUGGAGGGCGCGCCCGGAGGGGGGGGUAGGCGCGCCCCCUGCCUCGUGGCCUCCUCGAUUGUUUCUUGACGUCCACUCCAAGUCCCCUGGAUCACGUUUGUUCCAAAAAUCAUGUUCACGAAGGUUUCAUUGCGUUUGGACUCCGUUUGAUAUUCCUUUUCUACGAAACACUAAAAUAUGCAAAAAAAAACAGCAAUUUGGGUUGGGCCUCCGGUUAAUAGGUUAGUCCCAAAAAUAAUAUAAAAGUGUAAAAUAAAUCCCAUUAACAUCCAAAACAGAUAAUAUAAUAGCAUGGAACAAUAAAAAAUUAUAGAUACGUUGGAGACGUAUCAAGCAUCGCCAAGCUUAAUUCCCGCUCGUCCUCGAGUAGGUAAAUGAUAAAAACAGAAUUUUUGAUGUGGAAUGCUUUCUAGAAUAUUCUUCAAUGUAUUUUUCUAUAUUGUGGCAUGAAUGUUCAGAUCUGAAAGAUUCAUGAUAAAAGUUUAUUGUUGACCUAAAAAUAGUAAUACUCCAAGUAUGCUAGUCAAGCAAUUAUGUCUUAUAAAAAUACCAUAGCCAGAGAAAACUUAACCCUACAAAGUCAUAUAGUUUGGCCAUGCUUCAUUUUCGUCACACAAAAUGCUCUCAUCAUGCACAACCCCGAUGACAAGCCAAGCAAUUGUUUCAUACUUAGCCUUUUUCAAACUCUUUCAACUUUUACGCAAUAUAUGAGCGUGAGCCAUGGGCAUAGCACUAUGGGUGGAAUAGAAUAUGAUGAUUGAGGUUGUGUGAGAAGACAAAAAGGGAGAAAGUCUCACAUUGACGCGGCUAAUCAAUGGGCUAUGGAGAUGCCCACCGAUUGAUGUCAAUGCAAGGAGUAGGGAUUGCCAUGCAACAGAUGCACUAGAGCUAUAAAUAUAUGAAAGCUCAUCAAAGAAACUAAGUGGGUGUGCAUCCAACUCGCUUGCUCACGAAGACCUAGGGCAUUUGAGGAAGCCCGUCAUUUGAAUAUACAAGCCAAGUUCUAUAAUGAAAAAUUCCCACUAGUAUAUGAAAGUGACAAAAUAAGAGACUCUCUAUCAUGAAGAUCAUGGUGUACUUUGAAGCACAAGUGUGGAAAAAGGAUAGUAACAUUGUCCCUUCUCUCUUUUUCUCUCAUUUUUUUUCUUUUUUUCUUUGGGCCUUUUUUUUCCUUUUUUUUCUUUUGGCCUCUUUUCUUUUCCUUUUUUCGUCCGGAGUCUCAUCCCGACUUGUGGGGGAAUCAUAGUCUCCAGCAUCCUUUCCUCACAUGGGACAAUGUUCUAAUGAUGAUCAUCACACUUUUAUUUUCUUACAACUCAAGAAUUACAACUCGAUACUUAGAACAAAAUAUGACUCUAUGUGAAUGCCUCCGGCGGUGUACCAGGAUUGCAAUGAAUCAAGAGUGACAUGUAUGAAAAAAUUAUGAACAGUGGAUUUGCCACAAAUACGAUGUCAACUACAUGAUCAUGCAAAGCAAUAUGACAAUGAUGAUACAUGUCAUAAUAAAUGGAACGGUGGAAAGUUGCAUGGCAUUAUAUCUCGGAAUGGCUAUGGAAAUGCCAUAAUAGGUAGGUAUGGUGGCUGUUUUGAGGAAGAUAUAAGGAGGCUUAUGUGUGAUAGUGAAGGAAAUAUGCCCUAGAGGCAAUAAUAAAGUUAUUAUUUACUUCCUUAUAUCAUGAUAAAUGUUUAUUAUUCAUGCUAGAAUUAUAUUAACCGGAAACAUGAUACAUGUGUGAAUGCAUAGACAAACAGAAUGUCACUAGUAUGCCUCUACUUGACUAGCUCGUUGGUCAAAGAUGGUUAUGUUUCCUGACCAUAGACAAAGAGUUGUCAUUUGAUUAACGGGGUCACAUCAUUAGGAUAAUGAUGUGAUUGACUUGGCCCAUUUCAUUAGCUUAGCACUUGAUCGUUUAGUUUGUUGCUAUUGCUUUCUUCAUGACUUAUACAUGUUCCUAUGACUAUGAGAAUAUGCAACUCUUGUUUACCGGAGGAACACUUUGUGUGCUACCAAACGUCACAACGUAACUGGGUGAUUAAAAAGGUGCUCUACAGGUGUCUCCGAAGGUACUUGUUGGGUUGGCGUAUUUCGAGAUUAGGAUUUGUCACUCUGAUUGUCGGAGAGGUAUCUCUGGGCCCACUCGGUAAUACACAUCACUUAAGCCUUGCAAGCAUUGCAACUAAUGAGUUGGUUGCGGGAUGAUGUGUUACGGAACGAGUAAAGAGACUUGCCGGUAAUGAGAUUGAACUAGGUAUUGAGAUACCGACAAUCGAAUCUCGGGCAAGUAACAUACCGAUGACAAAGGGAACAACGUAUGUUGUUAUGCGGUCCGACCGAUAAAGAUCUUCAUAGAAUAUGUAGGAGCCAAUAUGGGCAUCCAGGUUCCGCUAUUGGUUAUUAACCAAAGAGGUGUCUCGGUCAUGUCUACAUAGUUCCGCUAUUGGUUAAAAACUUUGAGAAAUCAUAGAAAAUAAAUCGUAACUCGGAUGAAAAUACUUUGUACAUGAAAGUUUCUCAAAACGAUGAGACGAAUCUGAGAUCGCAGCCUGUUCGUCCGCCACACAUCCCUAGCAUAGCAAACAUGCAACUUUCCCCCUCCGGUUCAUCUGUCCGAAAACGCGAAACAUCGGGAAUACUUUCCCGGAUGUUUUCCUCCUUCGCGGUAUCACCUAGUACUGCAUUAGGUCACCCAUAGAACCGCGUAUUGCCAUGUUAUACUUUGUGAUGCUUUGAUUGCUUUGUUAUUUAUUGUGUUUCCCCUUUGUUACUUCUUUCUGGUAGACCCCGAGACUGCCGGCGACCCCCAGCUCGACUACGGUGUUGACAACCCUUCCUUCUUGCCAAAGCAACCAGGCAAGCCCCCCCUGAUCACCAGAUAUCGCCUAUUCUUCUCUCUACUGCUUGCAUUAUAGUAGUGUAGCAUGUUACUGCUUCCCGUUAAUCCUAUUCUAAUGCAUAGCCUGUCCUUGCUACUACUAUUGUUACCUCUACCUGCAAUCCUAAAUGCUUAGUAUAGGAUGCUAGUAUUCCAUCAGUGGCCCUACAUUCUUGUCUGUCUGCCAUGCUAUACUAUCGGGUCGUGAUCACUUGGGAGGUGAUCACGGGUAUAUACUUAUAUACAUAAUAUGUGAUACAUGUGGUGACUAAAGUUGGGUCGGCUCGUAGAGUACUCGCAAGUGAUUCCGAUGUGGGGGCUGAAAGGAUAGGUGGCUCCAUCCAGGUAGUGGUGGGCCUGAGUUCCCGAUGGCCCCCUAACUUUUACUUUGUGGCGGAGCGACAGGGCAGGUUGAGACCACCUAGGAGAGAGAGGUGGGCCUGGCCCUAGUCGGCGUCCGCGGUUACAUCAAUUAACACGCUUAACGAGAUCUUGGUAUUUGAUCUGAGUCUGGCCACUAGCCUAUACGCACUAACCAACUAUGCGGGAAUAGUUAUGGGCACUCGACGUCGCGGUAUUAGCCAAAGCCUUCUUGACAUCAGCGACUGAGCGACGCGCGCCGGAUUGGACUGGAACGCUUGCUCUUGUAUUAGGGAGGCUAGGUCUGCUUCCGGCCACGUUUGCAACAUGCAGGUGUGCAACGGGCGAUGCACCCAGACCCCUGCGCCAUAUGAUUUAGACCAGCAUGCUGACCUCUUUGUUGUGCCUAGGUAGGGCUGCGACAUGUUGAUCUUCCAAGGCCGGGCAUGACCCAGGAAAGUGUGUCCGGCCAAAGGGGAUCGAGCGUGUUGGGAAAUGUGGUGCACCCCUACAGGGAAGUUUAUCUAUUCGAAUAGUCGUGUCCCUCGGUAAAAGGAUGACCCGAAGUUGUACCUUGACCUUAUGACAACUAGAACCAGAUACUUAAUAAAAUACACCCUUCCAAGUGCCAGAUACAACCCGGUGAUCGCUCUCUCCUAGGGCGACGAGGGGAGGAUCAUCGGGUAGGAUUAUGCUAUGCGAUGUUAUUUGGUUAACUUACCAUCUACUCUCUUCUACUGCUUCAAGAUGGAGGCUGCCAGAAGCGUAGUCUUUGAUAGGACUAGCUACCCCCCUCUUAUUUUGGCAUUCUGCAGUUCAGUCCACAUAUACUACCCCUUUCAUUGAUACAAAUGCAUAUGUAGUGUAGCUCCUUGCUUGCGAGUACUUGGGAUGAGUACUCACGGUUGCUUUGCUUCCCCUUUUCCCCUUUUCCCCUUUCUAUACCUGGUUGUUGCGACCAGACGUUGGAGUCCAGGAGCCAGAUGCCACUGUCGACGAUGACUCGUACUACACUGGAGGUGCCUACUACUACGUGCAGGCCACUGACGAUGACUAGGAGUAGUUUAGGAGGAUCCCAGGCAUGAGACAUGCGCCUCUUUCGAUCCGUAUCCCAGUUUGUGCUAGCCUUCUUAAGGCAAAUUUGUUUAACUUAUGUGUGUACUUAGAUAUUAUUGCUUCCGCUGACUCGUGUAUUCGAGCUUAUUUGUUUAACUUGUUUAAAUGAAUUUUGCUAAAUCUAACAUUAGGAUCGCGUGAUCACUUUCACCCGGGGAGCACCUUAUUAUCGAUGAUCGACUGCUGCACCACAAGAUUCCGAAGAUACUCUCUGAUGUUCUCUUGAGACUUUGUGCCAUCGUUUCAGCAAUUCCUUUCCAUUGCUAAACCAUUUUGGAUAACCAUGUACACUUGUCAUUCAUACAAUCAUUCCCCGUUGAUCUUGUUAUUACAAGAUACCCCGAAAUUCUCUCUAUUGCUCCAAGAAUACUUUGUGCCUACUGCCUUGCAGAUCUUUGCCGCAUGAAUACCCCUAUGAAUAAUUCCUCACAUUUACCGAGGAUUUGUUCAUCUAUUUGUUCGUGUGUUUCACAAAGUUCUUUGAGAAACUAUUUGAUCUUCUGAAAAUCCUCAGCAGCCUAUUGAUCCUGAAUUUCUUGCCUUCAUGCAUUAUGGUUAAUUCCAUAUUUCUGGUAAUCUCCGUUGACAUUCUUUGUCACUAUCAUUCUAAGUCCCUUGAUUCAAUAUGUUGCGAAUGCUCGCAAUCCUCAGACAGAUCCUAGAAUUCAUCCUCCUGACUCAGACGUCAUUUUGAACGUGAGCUGGUUCUUGACCAAUCAAAUUGUCGUCGAUUGUACCCCUAAGUCUAUCCAACUUAUCCAUCCUUAAUCAGAGUGUUACUUCUGAUCAUUUGAUUCGGAAAUCAUAAUUCCUUUGCAUUUGAGUUUCAAUUAGUCAGUUGUUUCUAUAAUCUGAUCUCCUUGCAUCCCUUCUUAUUCUGGUUGGGUACCGAUGUUCACAUCAGCUUCGUUAUGGACCGUCAGAUCCUUUGUUGAAUUUAUCAUCUGAAAUUGUCCUUCGUUUACAAAAACCUUGGAAAGUUCUUUCCCUAAUACAUAAUGCCUUUGGUAAAUUGUAUCCUCUGCUUUGUCAACCAUGCUCUACUUUCGAGCUUGUGUUAUUUACCCCUGAUGUUUGUUGCAUAUGUUUCUACGAUGCCCCGAUGGGUUGAACCUAUGCCUUCCUUAAUCUGUGUGAACCCGAAAGAUUUCACGGGUCAUACUUAUCUGGUAUUGUACCUGGUAAAACUUUCAACAACUAAUGUCAUUUUCAGAAAGAGAGAGGUGAAUGGAAGGUUAUACAUUGAAGAGGUGGGAGUCGACCUUGAACUUGUGUUCAUGCCCAUGGACAUGAUGUAGAUCCUAUCAUGGAAGCUUCUUGUAAUAAAAACUAUUUCCUUGAUAUAAUAUCAUUUGGUAUCAGCGAAUUGAUCCUUUGCAAUCGUGGUUUCUACCAUGUUCUUCUUUGAUCCCAUUUCUCGGACAAGUUAAAGCACUUGUCUUUUGCAAGUCAUUACACCAGUCCAACCUCUACUUUGAUCUACCGUCGAGUAUUACCCUCUGGUAUCUCGAGAAUAUCUAAGAACUGUGUUGCAUCUUAUGAGUCUUCAUCAGCUAUUAUUUCUCACUGAUUCCAAUUUUUCAUGGGUUCUGGGUUGUCGUCAACCGAGAACACUGAUAUGUGAACAGAUUCCGCAUUCCGGUUCGAUAACCCUAAGUAAUUUUUGUUGCCUAUGAGUUUAAUAAUCCUUCAAGUCAUUCCUAGCCCAAUCGGCUAUAUCAUUAUCGUGCUGAUUUUAACUGUGCUACCUGGUCCUUCUUCCUAUAGCACAAAUUUCAACGGUGAGCUAAUCUUACGUAGAUUUUCCUUGUCAUAUAAUUUCUCCUUGAAAAACAAACUCAAUUUCGAGUUUGUGCCGUACUCAUGGUUCCAAUAGCCAUUCGCUUCAUCAUUCCUUUGACUUGAUGCCAUCGCCGAUCGAUUACAUCUUCAUGAAAUCUCUCGACAAAUGUGUCAUGAUCAUCAUCAGCAUUCUGAGCUCUUCCAGGAUAUCAAUUGAAUUCAUGAUGAGAAAUACCAUCCUUGCCCUAAAUUAUUUGUGUUAUCAUCGACCACUUUAUUGCCUUCCGUUCAACACAAACUUGUUCAUGUUUUGUGUUAUACCUUGAGAUCCAUGCUAUCUAGCAUUUGUUCUUCUUUACCUUGGAAUAUUACCAUCUUUUAUGUCAAGAAUGUCCUGAGAAUUUCACCACCUCUUAAAAAUUCUUGAUACAAGUGAUACUUCUUGCCAUCUCCCUUCAUUCCUUAGUCCCAGCAUUAUUUCUAACCAGAAUACUGACAAAUGGACUGUGAUGUGAAAUUUUCAAAACUUCUAGCAACCCUGUUGCUUGUAAGUUAAUGAAUGAUAGUUUCAUUCUUUGUGUAUUGGUUAUCAAAUCACCAUACUAACAUUGAUCAUGCUACCUAAGCCCAUAUUUCGGGUGCACCUUUCAACCAAUGUUUGCUCUUGGAUGUUCUCCUCGAGCAUACAUCAUUAUAUCAUUUGAUCUGACAAAUGUUAUCUCCUUGUUCACAUAAUCGUGGAAAUCCAUAUUUUUGGAAAUCUCAAUGAAUUGUUGCUGAGUCCAUCAGCCAUCUCAUCCUCUCCUUGGUUUAAUGAUGAACUCAUGAUUAAGAACUUGCUUCCAUAGUUCAUUUCCCGAGAAUCUCGCAACGCCAUCUCGUCAAACUGUGUUGCACCCAUUCCUUCUGAGGCAUCAUGAGUCUGAGGUAUCCUAACACCAAUCAGAUUUGAAUCUUGGUCAGAUAUGAUGGUUGGAACAUAUUUCCAAGAGUUAUAAUAAUUGGUCUUUAUAUGAACCAGUAAGGUGAGGUCAUGCCUAACACACCUGGCCGAAGGACCUAUUGUUAUAGUUUCCUUUUUAGCAAGGUUAUCCAUUAUUCCCCGAGGAAAUUGUAACGCUUAUUCUAUACGUUGUUCCUGAUGGAUCCUUUGUGUUUCCAAAGUCUGAUCUUCACCUAAUGACCAUGUUAAUGCUAUCUCGAAGCAUGUCUGUGGUACUAUGAUUUUCAAUAAGAACAUUUGAAGCACAAUGCUAAAAUUUCUUUAUCAAUUAUCCAAAAUUAUCCAAACACCGUUGUAUGGGGGCUACCUCUUGAGCACUGCGUUGGUUUUCCCUUGAAGAGGAAAGGGUGAUGCAGCAAAGUAGCGUAAGUAUUUCCCUUAGUUUUUGAGAACCAAGGUAUCAAUCCAGUAGGGGACUACACGCAAGUCCCUCGUACCUACACAAACAAAUGAGAACCUCGCAACCAACACGAUAAAGGGGUUGUCAAUCCCUUCAUGGUCACUUACGAGAGUGAGAUCUGAUAGAGAUAAUAAGAUAAAUAUUUUUGGUAUUUUUAUGAUAUAGAUUUAAAGUAAAGAUUGCAAAGUAAAUUGGAAACUUAUAUGAUAAAAGAUAGACCCGGGGGCCAUAGGUUUCACUAGUGGCUUCUCUCAAGAUAGCAUAAGUAUUACGGUGGGUGAACAAAUUACUGUCGAGCAAUUGAUAGAAAAGUGCAUAAUUAUGAGAAUAUAUAGGCAUGAUCAUGUAUAUAGUCAUCACGUUCGUGACAAGUAGACCGAAACGAUUCUGCAUCUACUACUAUUACUCCACACAGGGACUGCUAUCCAGCAUGCAUCUAGAGUAUUAAGUUCAUAAGAACAGAGUAACGCAUUAGGCAAGAUGACAUGAUGAAGAGGGAUAAACUCAAGCAAUAUGAUAUAAACCCCAUCUUUUUAUCCUCGAUGGCAACAAUACAAUACGUGCCUUGCUGCCCCUGCUGUCACUGGGAAAGGACACCGCAAGAUUGAACCAAAAGCUAAGCACUUCUCCCAUUGCAAGAAAGAUCAAUCUAGUAGACCAAACCAAACUGAUAAUUCGAAGAGACUUGCGAAGAUAACCAAUCAUACAUAAAAGAUUUUAGAGAAGAAUCAAAUAUUCUUCAUAGAUAAACUUGAUCAUAAACCCACAAUUCAUCGGAUCUCGACAAACACACCGCAAGAGUUAGAUCAAACAGAUCUCCAAGAAGAUCGAAGAGAACUUUGUAUUGAGAUCCAAAGAGAGAGAAGAAGCCAUCUAGCAAAUAACUAUGGACCCAAAGGUCUGUGGUAAACUACUCACCCAUCAUCGGAGAGGCUAUGGUGUUGACGUAGAAGCCCUCCGUGAUCGAUUCCCCCUCCGUCGGAGCUCCGAAAAAGGCCCCAAGAUGGGAUCUCUUGGGUACAGAAGGUUGCGGCGGUGGAAAUAGGGUUUCAUGGUGCUCCUGGAUGUUUUCGGGGUAUAUGGAUAUAUAUAGGAGGAAGAAGUAGGUCGGUGGAGCUGCGAGGGGCCCAUGAGGGUGGGGGCGCGCCCAGGGGGGCAAGCGUGCCUCCUUGCCUCGUGGCCACCUUGCUUCUUUCUUGACGUCUACUCCAAGUCUCCUGGAUCACGUUUGUUCCAAAAAUAACUCUCCCGAAGGUUUCAUUCCGUUUGGCUUCUGUUUGAUAUUCCUUUUCUGCGAAACACUGAAAUAGGCAAAAAACAGCAAUUUGCACUGGGCCUUGGGUUAGUAGGUUAGUCCCAAAAAUAAUAUAAAAGUGUAUAAUAAAGCCCAUUAAACAUCCAAAACAGAUAAUAUAAUAGCAUGGAACAAUAAAAAAUUAUAGAUACGUUGGAGACGUAUCAAUGGGUAAUGUCAUGAAAUUCCUCUCCCCUUUCCUAAAGGGUUUUCUACGUUAUAUCCUGUCAUGGAUACCAUUCUUUGCUUGUCCUUGUGAAGGAUAUACCCCUGAAAAAUGUGUUUAAACACAUUUUCCUUUCCAUUGUUUUGUUUAAUCUGAUGGUCACCUUUUCCUUUUCAUUGAUUUGUUUAACCUUUCUGGUGAUCUAUAUGAUCUAAGCAGUAAUAUUCUCCUGCUUAUGUAAACACCUUGGUGUACAACUCUGUCAGUAAGGACCUGUUACUAUUGUUGAUGACAUUCCGGUAACCACCGACGGAUGAGAACUUUGCCUAUUGGUCUGCCUCGUUCAACGAGUAGGAAAAUGGUUCUCUUCGUCCCUCGCCCUUGGUACCAACGAUGUUGCCAACAUAACUGACCGGAUAUUCUCUGACAUGCCUUGCUAUCAUGGUCAUGCAAGCUGUUGCUACCUCUUGAGCACUGCGUUGGAUUUCCCCGAAGAGGAGAGGAUGAUGCAGUAAAGUAGCGUAAGUAUUACCCUCAAUUUUUGAGAACCAAGGUAUCAAUCCAGUAGGAGGCUACGCGUGAGUUCCUCGUACCUACACAAAAACAAUAGCUCAACGCAACCAACGUGCUUAGGGGUUGUCAAUCCCUUCACGGUCACUUACGAAAGUGAGAUCUGAUAGAGAUGAUAAAUAAUAUUUUUGGUAUUUUUGGUAUAGAGACGCAAAGUGAAAAGUAAAAAGCAAAGCAAUAAUAAAGUGAUGGAGAUUGAUAUGAUGAGAAAGAGACCCGGGGGCCAUGGGUUUCACUAGUGGCUUCUCUCAAGAGCAUAAGUAUUCUACUGUGGGUGAACAAAUUACUGUUGAGCAAUUGACAAAAUUGAGCAUAGUUAUGAGAAUAUCUAGGUAUGAUCAUGUAUAUAGGCAUCACGUCCGACACAAGUAGACCGACUCCUGCCUGCGUCUACUACUAUUACUCCACUCAUCGACCGCUAUCCAGCAUGCAUCUAGAGUAUUAAGUUAAAAACAGAGUAACGCCUUAAGCAAGAUGACAUGAUGUAGAGGGAUAGUUUCAUGCAAUAUGAUAAAAAAACCAUCUUGUUAUCCUCGAUGGCAACAAUACAAUACGUGCCUUGCUGCCCCUUCUGUCACUAGGAAAGGACACCGCAAGAUCGAACCCAAAGCUAAGCACUUCUCCCAUGGUAAGAAAAACCAAUCUAGUAGGCCAAACCAAACUGAUAAUUUGAAGAGACUUACAAAGAUAACAAAUGAUACAUAAAAGAAUUCAGAGAAGAUUCAAAUAUUAUUCAUAGAUAGACUGGAUCAUAAACCCACAAUUCAUCGGUCUCAACAAACACACCGCAAAAAGAAGAUUACAUCGAAUAGAUCUCCACGAGAGAGGGGGAGAACAUUGUAUUGAGAUCCAAAAAGAGAGAAGAAGCCAUCUAGCUACUAACUAUGGACCCGUAGGUCUGAAGUAAACUACUCACACUUCAUCGGAGGGGCUUGGAUGAUGAUGUAGAAGCCCUCCGUGAUCGAUGCCCCCUCCCCCGGAGCUCCGGAACAGGCCCCAAGAUGGGAUCUCGUGGAUACAGAAAGUUGCGGUGGUGGAAUUAGGUUUUUGGCUCCAUAUCUGAUCGUUUGGGGGUACGUAGGUAUAUAUAGGAGGAAGGAAUACGUCGGUGGAGCUUCGAGGGGCCCACGAGGCAGGGGGCGCGCCCUAGGGGGCGCCCUCCACCCUCGUGACUGCCUCGUGACUUUCUUGACGGAGGGUCCAAGUCUCCUAGGUCUUAUCUGAUGAGAAAAUCGCGCUCCCAAAGGUUUCGUUCCGUUUGGACCCCGUUUGAUAUUAUGUUUCUCCGAAACACUGAAAUAGGCAAAAAACAGCAAUUCUGGGCUGGGCCUCCUAUUAAUAGGUUAGUCCCAAAAAUAAUAUAAAAGUGGAAAAUAAAGCCCAAUAUAGUCCAAAACAGUAGGUAAUAUAGCAUGAAGCAAACAAAAAUUAUAGAUACGUUGGAGGCGUAUCAGCUGUUAACGCCCUUCCUUGUUUUAACCCACAUGGUGGGCCCAUAACCCAUAAGUUCCACAUGAUCGAAACCUGACUCUUUGUUGGGAAACGUAGUAAUUUCAAAAAAAAUCCUACGCACACGCAAGAUCAUGGUGAUGCAUAGCAAUGAGAGGGGAGAGUAUGAUCUACGUACCCUUGUAGAUCGACAAUGGAAGCGUUUGGUUGAUGUAGUCGUACGUCUCCACGGCCCAACCGAUCAAGCACCGAAACUAUGGCACCUCCGAGUUCUAGCACACGUUCAGCUCGAUGACGAUCCCCGGACUCCGAUCUAGCAAAGUGUCGGGGAAGAGUUCCGUCAGCACGACGGCGUGGUGACGAUCUUGAUGUACUACCGUCACAGGGCUUCGCCUAAGCACCGCUACAAUAUUAUCGAGGACUAUGGUGGAAGGGGGCACCGCACAUGGCUAAGAAUAUGAUCACGUGGAUCAACUUGUGUCUCUAGGGGGUGCCCCUGCCUCCAUAUAUAAAGGUUCAAGGGAGGGGGGCCUGCCGGCCAGGAGAGGCGCGCCUUUCCUAGUUGGAAUAGGAUUCGUGGAGGGGGGAAAGAGGAGAGAGAGGAGGAAGGGGGGCCGGCCCCCUCUCCUUGUCCAAUUUGGACCAAGGGGGGGAGGGGCGCGCGUCCCAUCUCUGGCCACCUCUCCUCUCUCCCACUAAGGCCCAUAUACCUCCCGGGGGGUUCCGGUAACCUCCCGGUACUCCGGUAAAAUCCCGAUUUCACCUGGAACACUUCCGAUAUCCAAACAUAGGCUUCCAAUAUAUCAAUCUUUAUGUCUCGACCAUUUCGAGACUCCUCGUCAUGUCCAUGAUCACAUCCGAGACUCCGAACAACCUUCGGUACAUCAAAAUGCAUAAACUCAUAAUAUAACUGUCAUCGUAACCUUAAGCAUGCGGACCCUACGGGUUCGAGAACAAUGUAGACAUGACCGAGACACGUCUCCGGUCAAUAACCAAUAGCGGAACCUGGAUUCUCAUAUUGGCUCCUACAUAUUCUACGAAGAUCUUUUAUCGGUCAGACCGCAUAACAACAUACGUUGUUCCCUUUGUCAUCGGUAUGUUACUUGCCCGAGAUUCGAUCGUCGGUAUCCCAUACCUAGUUCAAUCUUGUUACCGACAAGUCUCUUUACUCGUUCUGUAAUACAUCAUCCCGCAACUAACUCAUUAGUUGCAAUGCUUGCAAGGCUUAAGUGAUGUGCAUUACCGAGAGGGCCCAGAGAUACCUCUCCGACAAUCAGAGUGACAAAUCCUAAUCUCGAAAUACGCCAACCCAACAUGUUCCUUUGGAGACACCUGUAGAGCACCUUUAUAAUCACCCAGUUACGUUGUGACGUUUGGUUGCACACAAAGUGUUCCUCUGGUAAACGGGAGUUGCAUAAUCUCAUAGUCAUAGGAACAUGUAUAAGUUAUGAAGAAAGCAAUAGCAACAUACUAAACGAUCGGGUGCUAAGCUAAUGGAAUGGGUCAUGUCAAUCAGAUCAUUCACCUAAUGAUGUGAUCCCGUUAAUCAAAUAACAACUCUUUGUCCAUGGUUAGGAAACAUAACCAUCUUUGAUUAACGAGCUAGUCUAGUAGAGGCAUACUAGUGACACUCUGUUUGUCUAUGUAUUCACACAUGUAUUAUGUUUCCAGUUAAUACAAUUCUAGCAUGAAUAAUAAACAUUUAUCAUGAUAUAAGGAAAUAAAUAAUAACUUUAUUAUUGCCUCUAGGGCAUAUUUCCUUCAGUCUCCCACUUGCACUAGAGUCAAUAAUCUAGAUUACACAGUAAUGAUUCUAACACCCAUGGAGCCUUGGUGUUGAUCAUGUUUUGCUCGUGGAAGAGGCUUAGUCAACGGGUCUGCUACAUUCAGAUCCGUAUGUAUCUUGCAAAUCUCUAUAACUCCCACCUGGACUAUAUCCCGGAUGGAAUUGAAGCGUCUCUUGAUGUGCUUGGUUCUCUUGUGAAAUCUGGAUUCCUUUGCCAAGGCAAUUGCACCAGUAUUGUCACAAAAGAUUUUCAUUGGACCCGAUGCACUAGGUAUGACACCUAGAUCGGAUAUGAACUCCUUCAUCUAGACUCCUUCAUUCGCUGCUUCCGAAGCAGCUAUGUAUUCCGCUUCACACGUAGAUCCCGCCAAGACGCUCUGUUUAGAACUGCACCAACUGACAGCUCCACCGUUUAAUGUAAACACGUAUCCGGUUUGUGAUUUAGAAUCAUACGGAUCAGUGUCAAAGCUUGCAUCAACGUAACCGUUUACGAUGAGCUCUUUGUCACCUCCAUAUACGAGAAACAUAUCCUUAGUCCUUUUUAGGUACUUCAGGAUGUUCUUGACCGCUGUCCAGUGAUCCACUCUUGGAUUACUUUGGUACCUCCCUGCUAGACUUAUAGCAAGGCACACAUCAGGUCUGGUACAUAGCAUUGCAUACAUGAUAGAGCCUAUGGCUGACGCAUAGGGAACAUCUUUCAUUUUCUCUCUAUCUUCUGCAGUGCUCGGGCAUUGACUCUGACUCAACUUCACACCUUGUAACACAGGCAAGAACCCUUUCUUUGCUUGAUCCAUUUUGAACUUCUUCAAAAUCUUGUCAAGGUAUGUGCUUUGUGAAAGUCCAAUUAAGCGUCUCGAUCUAUCUCUAUAGAUCUUUAUGCCUAAUAUGUAAGCAGCUUCACCGAGGUCUUUCAUUGAAAAACUCUUAUUCAAAUAUCCCUUUAUGCUAUCUAGAAAUUCUAUAUCAUUUCCAAUCAGUAAUAUGUCAUCCACAUAUAAUAUCAGAAAUGCUACAGAGCUCCCACUCACUUUCUUGUAAAUACAGGCUUCUCCAAAAUUCUGUAUAAAACCAAAUGCUUUGAUCACACUAUCAAAGCAUUUAUUCCAACUCCAAGAGGCUUGCACCAGUCCAUAAAUGGAUCGCUGGAGCUUGCACACUUUGUUAGCUCCCUUUGGAUCGACAAAACCUUCCGGUUGCAUCAUAUACAACUCUUCUUCCAGAAAUCCAUUCAGGAAUGCAGUUUUGACAUCCAUCUGCCAAAUUUCAUAAUCAUAAAAUGCGGCAAUUGCUAACAUGAUUCGGACAGACUUAAGCAUCGCUACGGGUGAGAAGGUCUCAUCGUAGUCAACCCCUUGAACUUGUCGAAAACCUUUUGCGACAAGUCGAGCUUUGUAGACAGUAAUAUUACCGUCAGCGUCAGUCUUCUUCUUGAAGAUCCAUUUAUUCUCAAUUGCUUGCCGAUCAUCGGGCAAGUCAACCAAAGUCCAUACUUUGUUCUCAUACAUGGAUCCCAUCUCAGAUUUCAUGGCUUCAAGCCAUUUUACGGAAUCUGGGCUCACCAUCGCUUCUUCAUAGUUCGUAGGUUCAUCAUGAUCUAGUAGCAUGAUUUCCAAAACAGGAUUACCGUACCACUCUGGUGCGGAUCUCACUCUGGUUGAUCUACGAGGUUCAGUAGUAUCUUGUUCUGAAGUUUCAUGAUCAUUAUCAUUAGCUUCCUCACUAAUUGGUGUAGGUGUCACAAAAACAGUUUUCUGUGAUGCACCACUUUCCAAUAAGGGAGCAGGUACGGUUACCUCGUCAAGUUCUACUUUCCUCCCACUCACUUCUUUCGAGAGAAACUCCUUCUCUAGAAAGGAUCCAUUCUUAGCAACGAAUGUCUUGCCUUCGGAUCCGUGAUAGAAGGUGUACCCAACAGUCUCCUUUGGGUAUCCUAUGAAGACACAUUUCUCCAAUUUGGGUUCGAGCUUAUCAGGUUGAAGCUUUUUCACAUAAGCAUCGCAGCCCCAAACUUUAAGAAACGACAACUUUGGUUUCUUGCCAAACCACAGUUCAUAAGGUGUCGUCUCAACGGAUUUUGAUGGUGCCCUAUUUAACGUGAACGCGGCCGUCUCUAAAGCAUAACCCCAAAAUGAUAGCGGUAAAUUUGUAAGAGACAUCAUAGAUCGCACCAUAUCAAGUAAAGUACGAUUACGACGUUCGGACACACCAUUACGCUGAGGUGUUCCGGGUGGCGUGAGUUGUGAAACUAUUCCGCAUUGUUUCAGAUGUAGACCAAACUCGUAACUCAAAUAUUCUCCUCCAUGAUCAGAUCGCAGAAACUUUAUUUUCUUGUUACGAUGAUUUUCAACUUCACUCUGAAAUUCUUUGAACUUUUCAAAUGUUUCAGACUUAUGCUUCAUUAAGUAGAUAUACCCAUAUCUGCUUAAAUCAUCUAUGAAGGUGAGAAAAUAACGAUAUCCGCCACGAGCCUCAACAUUCAUCGGACCACAUACAUCUGUAUGUAUGAUUUCUAACAAAUCUGUUGCUCUCUCCAUUGUACCGGAGAACGGUGUUUUAGUCACCUUGCCCAUAAGGCAUGGUUCGCAAGUACCAAGUGAUUCAUAAUCAAGAGGUUCCAAAAUUCCAUCGGUAUGGAGUUUCUUCAUGCGCUUUACACCGAAAUGACCUAAACGGCAGUGCCACAAAUAAGUUGCACUAUCAUUAUCAACUCUACAUCUUUUGGCUUCAACAUUAUGAAUAUGUGUGUUACUAAUAUCGAGAUUCAUCAAAAAUAGACCACUCUUCAAAGGUGCAUGACCAUAAAAGAUAUUACUCAUAUAAACAGAACAACCAUUAUUCUCUGAUUUAAAUGAAUAACCGUCUCGCAUUAAACAAGAACCAGAUAGAAUGUUCAUGCUCAACGCAGGCACCAAAUAACAAUUAUUUAGGUCUAAUAUUAAUCCCGAAGGUAGAUGUAGAGGUAGCGUGCCGACCGCGAUCACAUCGACUUUAGAACCAUUUCCCACGCGCAUCAUCACCUCGUCCUUUGCCAGUGUUCGCUUAAUCCGUAGUCCCUGUUUCGAGUUGCAAAUAUUAGCAACAGAACCAGUAUCAAAUACCCAGGUGCUACUGCGAGCUCUAGUAAGGUGCACAUCAAUAACAUGUAUAUCACAUAUACCUUUGUUCACCUUGCCAUCCUUCUUAUCCGCCAAAUACUUGGGGCAGUUCCGCUUCCAGUGACCAGUCUGCUUGCAGUAGAAGCACUCAGUUUCAGGCUUAGGUCCAGAUUUGGGUUUCUUCUCCUGAUCAGCAACUUGCUUGCUUUUCUUCUUGAAGUUCCCCUUCUUCUUCCCUUUGCCCUUUUUCUUGAAACUAGUGGUCUUGUUGACCAUCAACACUUGAUGCUCCUUCUUGAUUUCUACCUCUGCAGCUUUCAGCAUUGCGAAGAGUUCGGGAAUAGUCUUGUUCAUCCCUUGCAUAUUAUAGUUCAUCACAAAGCUCUUGUAGCUUGGUGGCAGUGAUUGGAGAAUUCUGUCAAUGACGCAAUCAUCUGGAAGAUUAACUCCCAUCUGAAUCAAGUGAAUAUUAUACCCAGACAUUUUGAGUAUAUGCUCACUGACAGAACUGUUCUCCUCCAUCUUGCAGCUAUAGAAUUUAUUGGAGACUUCAUAUCUCUCAAUCCGGGCAUUUGCUUGAAAUAUUAACUUCAACUCUUGGAACAUCUCAUAUGCUCCAUGACGUUCAAAACGUCGUUGAAGUCCCGAUUCUAAGCCGUAAAGCAUGGCACACUGAACUAUCGAGUAGUCAUCAGCUUUGCUCUGCCAAAUGUUCACAACAUCUGGUGUUGCUCCAGCAGCAGGCCUGGCACCUAGCCGUGCUUCCAGGACGUAAUUCUUCUGUGCAGCAAUGACGAUAAUCCUCAAGUUACGGACCCAGUCCGUGUAAUUGCUACCAUCAUCUUUCAACUUUGCUUUCUCAAGGAACGCAUUAAAAUUCAACGGAACAACAGCACGGGCCAUUUAUCUACAAUCAUACAUAAACAAGCAAGAUACUAUCAGGUACUAAGUUCAUGAUAAAUUUAGGUUCAAUUAAUCAUAUUACUUAAACUCCCACUUAAAUAGACAUCCCUCUAAUCAUCUAAGUGAUCACGUGAUCCAAAUCAACUAAACCAUAACCAAUCAUCACGUGAAAUGGAGUAGUUUUCAAUGGUGAACAUCGCUAUGUUGAUCAUAUCUACUAUAUGAUUCACGCUCGAUCUUUCGAUCUCAGUGUUCCGAGGCCAUAUCUGCAUAUGCUAGGCUCAUCAAGUUUAACCUGAGUAUUCUGUGUGUGCAAAACUGGCUUGCACCCGUUGUAGAUGGACGUAGAGCUUAUCACACCGGAUCAUCACGCGGUGUCUGGGCACGACGAACUUUGGCAAUGGUGCAUACUCAGGGAGAACACUUUUAUCUUGAAAUUUAGUGAGAGAUCAUCUUAUAAUGCUACCGUCAAUCAAAGCAAGAUAAGAUGCAUAAAAGAUAAACAUCACAUGCAAUCAAUAUAAGUGAUAUGAUAUGGCCAUCAUCAUCUUGUGCUUGUGAUCUCCAUCUCCGAAGCACCGUCGUGAUCACCAUCGUCACCGGAGCGACACCUUGACCUCCAUCGUAGUAUCGUUGUCGUCUCGCCAAUCUUAUGCUUCCACGACUAUCGCUACCGCUUAGUGAUAAAGUAAAGCAUUACAGCGCGAUUGCAUUGCAUACAAUAAAGCGACAACCAUAUGGCUCCUGCCAGUUGCCGAUAACUCAGUUACAAAACAUGAUCAUCUCAUACAAUAAAAUUUAGCAUCAUGUCUUGACCAUAUCACAUCACAACAUGCCCUGCAAAAACAAGUUAGACGUCCUCUACUUUGUUGUUGCAUGUUUUACGUGGCUGCUACGGGCUUUAAGCAAGAACCAAUCUUACCUACGCAUCAAAACCACAAUGAAAGUUUGUCAAGUUGGUGUUGUUUUAAACUUCGCAAGGACCGGGCAUAGCCACACUCGGUUCAACUAAAGUUGGAGAAACUGUCACCCGCAAGCCACCUAUGUGCAAAGCACAUCGGGAGAACCGGUCUCGCGUAAGCAUACGCGUAAUGUCGGUCCGGGCCGCUUAGUCCAACAAUACCACCGAACCAAAGUAUGACAUGUUGGUAAGCAGUAUGACUUAUAUCGCCCACAACUCACUUGUGUUCUACUCGUGCAUAUAACAUCAACAUAUAAAACCUAGGCUCGGAUGCUACUGUUGGGAAACGUCUUAAUUUCAAAAAAAUUCCUAUGCACACGCAAGAUCAUGGUGAUGCAUAGCAACGAGAGGGGAGAGUAUGAUCUACGUACCCUUGUAGAUCGACAAUGGAAGCGUUUGGUUGAUGUAGUCGUACGUCUCCAUGGCCCGACCGAUCAAGCACCGAAACUUCGGCACCUCCGAGUUCUAGCACACGUUCAGCUCGAUGACGAUCCCCGGACUCCGAUCCAGCAAAGUGUCGGGGAAGAGUUCUGUCAGCACGACGGCGUGGUGACGAUCUUGAUGUACUACCGUCACAGGGCUUCGCCUAAGCACCGCUACAAUAUUAUCGAGCACUAUGGUGGAAAGGGGUCACUGCACACGGCUAAGAAUAUGAUCACGUGGAUCAACUUGUGUCUCUAGGGGGUGCCCAUGCCUCCGUAUAUAAAGGUUCAAGGGAGGGGGGCCGGCCGGCCAGGAGAGGUGCGCCAGGAGGAGUCCUACUCCCUCUGGGAGUAGGACUCCCCCCUUUCCUAGUUGGAACAGGAUUCGUGGAGGGGGGAAGAGGAGAGAGAGGAGGAAGGGGGCCCGGCCCCCUCUCCUUGUCCAAUUCGGACCAAGGGGGGGAGGGGCGCGCGUCCCAUCUCUGGCCACCUCUCCUCUCUUCCACUAAGGCCCACUAAGGCCCAUAUACCUCCUGGGGGGUUCCGGUAACCUCCCGGUACUCCGGUAAAAUCCCGAUUUCACCCGGAACACUUCCGAUAUCCAAACAUAGGCUUCCAAUAUAUCAAUCUUUAUUUCUCGACCAUUUCGAGACUCCUCGUCAUGUCCGUGAUCACAUCCGGGACUCCGAACAACCUUCGGUACAUCAAAAUGCAUAAACUCAUAAUAUAACUGUCAUCGUAACCUUAAGCGUGCGGACCCUACGGGUUCGAGAACAAUGUAGACAUGAUCGAGACACGUCUCUGGUCAAUAACCAAUAGCGGAACCUGGAUUCUCAUAUUGGCUCCUACAUAUUCUACGAAGAUCUUUUAUUGGUCAGACCGCAUAACAACAUACGUUGUUCCCUUUGUCAUCGGUAUGUUACUUGCCCGAGAUUCGAUCGUCGGUAUCCCAUACCUAGUUCAAUCUUGUUACCGACAAGUCUCUUUACUCGUUCUGUAGUACAUCAUCCCGCAACUAACUCAUUAGUUGCAAUGCUUGCAAGGCUUAAGUUAUGUGCAUUACCGAGAGGGCCCAGAGAUACCUCUCCGACAAUCGGAGUGACAAAUCCUAAUCUCGAAAUACGCCAACCCAACAUGUUCCUUUGGAGACACCCGUAGAGCACCUUUAUAAUCACCCAGUUACGUUGUGACGUUUGGUUGCACACAAAGUGUUCCUCCGGUAAACGGGAGUUGCAUAAUCUCAUAGUCAUAGGAACAUGUAUAAGUUAUGAAGAAAGCAAUAGCAACAUACUAAACGAUCAAGUGCUAAGCUAAUGGAAUGGGUCGUGUCAAUCAGAUCAUUCACCUAAUGAUGUGAUCCCGUUAAUCAAAUAACAACUCUUUGUCCAUGGUUAGGAAACAUAACCAUCUUUGAUUAACGAGCUAGUCUAGUAGAGGCAUACUAGUGACACUCUGUUUGUCUAUGUAUUCACACAUGUAUUAUGUUUCCGGUUAAUACAAUUCUAGCAUGAAUAAUAAACAUUUAUCAUGAUAUAAGGAAAUAAAUAAUAACUUUAUUAUUGCCUCUAGGGCAUAUUUCCUUCACUCUCAUGUACCCCCUAUUUCCAUAGUUAUUCCUCGCGUGUGGUCUCAUAUGUAAUUCAUGAGCCACCUUCCGAGAGAUCAUCAAUUCUGCUAUCAGACACAAUACUUAUUCCCGUUGCUUUGGGUCCCUUUCGCGCCCUGUUUCAGGCAUCGAGCGCUUGCCUGCCCGCUCGAAACUUCCCAUGAUAACUCCUUACUUUGCUCUCGAUAUUUUCAUAAGUUUCAAUUCGAGAGUUACUCUCCGCCACCUUCCUCGAUGUUCUCGACCAGAUAGUCAACCUUGCCGAGGUCUGUUCUCCCGGAAAGCUCCUCCUUUAGUCUUUUGUAAGUACAGUGAAGAUCCUUAAGGAAGGACGACAACUUCAUCAUGAUGACUUGAAGCAGAGAAAUGAAGACAUGAAUGUAAUGGAUCGACCUCUUCGAGAAGAGAAACUAAGACCGAGAAGAAUCGUUAGAAUUUAGUAACCACAUCUUUCCCCUUACUCAGCCUCUUAAAAUCUCGGGACGAGAUUUCUUGUAAUGGAGGAGAAUUGUGACGCCCGGAUAAUUAAGCUACAGUGAACCUUUGCUAAUGAUGCCACGUCACUGCGAUUACUGUUAUUAAUCUCGCGAUGGUUCAAAAAACGAUUCAAAUUCAAAUUUAAAAUAUAGGCAAGCAACAAAUGUUUUCAAAAAUUAAAACUAAAAUGUUCGAGAGAUGACAUAUAAUGCAUAUGUAAUUAUGCUGAUGAAACCACAUUUUGAUAAAAUGUUUAGAUGUAAGAAAUUAAUUGAAAUAGGGGCUAAACAAUUACUUAAAUUCUUUUAAAAAGAAUAAACUAUUACAAACCAUUUUAUUUUGGAGAGCUAAAUUAAUAGUUGCAAAGCCACAAUUUUUAACACUAAAUUAGGUGUCACUUUUGUAUUUUAUUAAAACUAAAAUAAAUAGAAACUAAAAUAAAUAAAUAAAGGAUAAAUAAAAAGAAAACAAAAAGAAGUAAAAUAAAAAGGAAAAGUGCCCCUGGUCCAACUAGGCCACAGCCCAGCUGGUCGCACACCCAGUUGGCCCACCACUGCCCCAAUAACCCCCUGCAACUGAACCCUAGACCCUCACACCUCUCGCCCCCACUCCCUAUCUGCAUGAUCCUCUCAACCCCCACCCGCCUCGCGCCGCCACGGACGAGCGAGAGCGCUCUCGCUCGACCCCGCAGAUCCUCCCGCCGGCCACGCCCUGCGCCUCCCCCGAACUCGCCUCAUCCUCCCCUGCACCCACCUCCGCCACCACUCUCGCGCCAGAGUCGUCCCCCGCCGUCGCCUCGUCGUACACGGCUGCCCGACCGCGCCCCCACCCGAGGAACCGUCGCCGACGCCGCCCGGAGCCACUCCGCCGACGCUCGUCGCCGACCACCGCCCCGUCGCCGGAUCUUGCAUCCCCGUCCUCCUCCCCAAAGGACACCUCGAGCCUCGCGGCCCCCUGGUCUCUACAUCGCCGGUGAGGGCCUCGCCCUUUCCCCAUCUCUUCCUCUGUCCCGUGUCUGCCGCGGCCCCCUCCACCACCUUCACUGCUGCUCGCCGGCCACUGCGCCCACCUCGCCUUGUAGCCGUCGUUGGCCGCGCCAUGGCCCUGCCCGCUGCGCUCAGCGCACCAUCACGCGCGCAUGCGCUCGCGUCCUCGCGCCCGGAUGACGUACCCCGCCCCGCUCCCCCUCUGCUUGACCUCGUCUGCCGGCAGCCGCUCACGCGCCCACGGCCUCAACUGCUGCGCCGCUUCUGCUGCUACUGUGUGCCACCGUGCCGACCCGCCUUCCCCGUUGACGGCCGCCGUGCCCGCACCUUGCCGAAACCGCGCGUGCACGCCCUGCCACUGCUCCACGCCGGCGUGCUGUCCUGGCCCUGCUGCUCUCUGCGNNNNNNNNNNNNNNNNNNNNNNNNNNNNNNNNNNNNNNNNNNNNNNNNNNNNNNNNNNNNNNNNNNNNNNNNNNNNNNNNNNNNNNNNNNNNNNNNNNNNNNNNNNNNNNNNNNNNNNNNNNNNNNNNNNNNNNNNNNNNNNNNNNNNNNNNNNNNNNNNNNNNNNNNNNNNNNNNNNNNNNNNNNNNNNNNNNNNNNNNNNNNNNNNNNNNNNNNNNNNNNNNNNNNNNNNNNNNNNNNNNNNNNNNNNNNNNNNNNNNNNNNNNNNNNNNNNNNNNNNNNNNNNNNNNNNNNNNNNNNNNNNNNNNNNNNNNNNNNNNNNNNNNNNNNNNNNNNNNNNNNNNNNNNNNNNNNNNNNNNNNNNNNNNNNNNNNNNNNNNNNNNNNNNNNNNNNNNNNNNNNNNNNNNNNNNNNNNNNNNNNNNNNNNNNNNNNNNNNNNNNNNNNNNNNNNNNNNNNNNNNNNNNNNNNNNNNNNNNNNNNGGAUGCCCGGUCGGGGCCAGCGCCCGAGACCCGCGCCCGCAGCGCCCGCCCCAUUAAGGCCUCUAGGGCCUAUGACAAAGGGGGCCCACCCAGAACGAUUAGAAAAAAGAAUUAAGAAUAAUAAUAAAUAAAUACAAAUAUUAAUUAAUUAAUUAACUAAAUUAAUUAACUAAAUUAAUUAAUUAAAUUAAUUAUGUUUGAUUAACCUGAUCAAUUAGCUAAACUAACUAAACAUGUUUAGUUAGCCUUAGUCUAUGACAGGUGGGUCCCACUAGACCCACAGGCCAGGUUUGACUCUCGUCAGCUGGGUUUGACCUGCUGAUGUCAUGGUGAUGUCAUGCUGACAUCACCUUUCACUGUUCUGGAUAAUGUUUGAUUUAAAUAAUUAAAUAAACUUAAAAAAAUGCCUAAAACUUUGAUAAACAAUAGAAAAUAAACCGUAACUCGGAUGAAAAUACUUUGUACAUGAAAGUUGCUCAGAACGACGAGACGAAUCCGAAUACGCAGCCUGUUCUUCCGCCACACAUCCCUAGCAUAGCAAACACACAACUUUCCCCCUCCGGUUCAUCUGUUCGAAAACGCGAAACACCGGGAAUACUUCCCGGAUGUUUUCCUCCUUCACCGGUAUCACCUAGUACUACGUUAGGUCAAACCUAGCACCGCGUAUUGCCAUGUUAUACUUUGUGAUGCUUUGAUUGCUUUGUUAUUUAUUGUGUUUCCCCUCCGUUACUUCUUUUUGGUAGACCCCGAGACUACCGGCGACCCCCAGCUCGACUACGGUGUUGACGACCCUUCCUUCUUGCCAAAGCAACUAGGCAAGCCCCCCUUGAACACCAGAUAUCUGAUACGUCUCCAACGUAUCUAUAAUUUUUGAUGGUUCCAUGCUAUUAUAUUAUCUGUUUUGGAUGUUAAUGGGCUUUAUUUUACACUUUUAUAUUGUUUUUGGGACUAACCUAUUAAACGGAGGCCCAUCCCAAAUUGCUGUUUUUUGCCUAUUUCAGUGUUUCAUAGAAAAGGAAUAUCAAACGGAGUCCAGACAGAAUGAAACCUUCGGGAACGUGAUUUUUGGAACAAACGUGAUCCAGGGGAUUUUGAGUGGACGUCAAGAAACAAUCGAGGAGGCCAUGAGGCAGGGGGCGCGCCUACCCCCUGGGCACGCCCUCCACCCUCGUGGGCCCCUCGUUGCUCCACCGACCUACUUCUUCCUCCUAUAUAUAUAUAUAUAUAUAUAUAUAUAUAUAUAUAUAUAUACCCCGAGAACAUCCAGGAGCACCACGAAACCCUAUUUCCACCGCCGCAACCUUCUAUACCCAAGAGAUCCCAUCCUGGGGCCUUUUCCGGAGCUCCGCCGGAGGGGUCAUUGAUCACGGAGGGCCUCUACAUCAACUCCAUGGCCCCUCCGAUGAUGUGUGAGUCAUUUACCUCAGACCUUCGGGUCCAUAGCUAGUAGCUAGAUGGCUUCUUCUCUCUCUUUGGAUCUCAAUACAAAGUUCUCCUCGAUUCUCUUGGAGAUCUAUUCGAUGUAGUCUUCUUUUGCGGUGUGUUUGUCGAGAUCUGAUGAAUUGCGGGUUUAUGAUCAAGUCUAUCUAUGAACAAUAUUUGAAUCUUCUCUGAAUUCUUUUAUGUAUGAUUGGUUUAUCUUUGCAAGUCUCUUCGAAUUAUCAGUUUGGUUUGGCCUACUAGAUUGAUCUUUCUUGCCAUUGGAGAAGUGCUUAGCUUUGGGUUCAAUCUUGUGGUGCUCGAUCCCAGUGACAGAAAGGGAAACGACACGUUUUGUAUUGUUGCCAUCGAGGAUAAAAAGAUGGGGUUUAUAUCAUAUUGCAUGAGUUUAUCCCUCUACAUCAUGUCAUCUUGCUUAAGGCGUUACUCCAUUCUUAUGAACUUAAUACUCUAGAUGCAUGCUGGAUAGCGGUUGAUGUGUGGAGUAAUAGUAGUAGAUGCAUGCUGGAUAGCGGUUGAUGUGUGGAGUAAUAGUAGUAGAUGCAGGCAAGAGUCGGUCUACUUGUCACGGAUGUGAUGCCUAUAUACAUGAUCAUACCUAGAUAUUCUCAUAAUUAUUCGCUUUUCUAUCAAUUGCUCGAUAGUAAUUUGUUCACCCACCAUACUUAUGCUAUCUUGAGAGAAGCCAAUAGUGAAACCUAUGGCCCCCAGGUCUAUUCUCCAUCAUAUAAGUUUCCAAUCUAUUUUAUUUUGCAAUCUUUACUUUCAAUCUAUAUCAUAAAAAUACCAAAAAUAUUUAUCUUAUUAUUAUCAUCUCUAUCAGAUCUCACUCUUGUAAGUGGCCGUGAAGGGAUUGACAACCCCUUUAUCGUGUUGGUUGCGAGGUUCUUAUUUGUUUGUGUAGGUACGAGGUGACUCGUGUGUGGUCUCCUACUGGAUUGGUACCUUGGUUCUCAAAAACUGAGGGAAAUACUUACGCUGCUUUACUGCAUCACCCUUUCCUCUUCAAGGGAAAACCAACACAGUGCCCAAGAGGUAGCAAGAAGGAUUUCUGGCGCCGUUGCCGGGGAGAUCUACGCCAAGUCAAGACAUACCAAGUACCCAUCACAACUCUUAUCCUUUGCAUUACAUUAUUUGCCAUUUGCCUCUCGUUUUCCUCUCCCCCACUUCACCCUUGUCGUUUUAUUCGCUCUGUCUUUCCCGUUCGCCUCUUUCUCGCUUACGUCUUGUUGCUUGUUGCCCUCAUGGCUUUACCAAAAGGAGUUGAUCCUCACCUUACAAGGUUGGAAGAAAUCGAAAACAACGUUAGAAGUUUUAUGUCCUUGCAGUUUGAGCAUAAUAAUUUCUCUAGAAACGAGCUUAAAGAACAAAAAAGUUUUAUCGGUUUCAUGAAUAAAGAUCUCAAUGAUAUGUCUAAGGAAUUUUAUGGUUUGAAAUCUCAGCUUGCUCAUCUUGAAAAAUUAAUUGCUGAAAUCUCGGAUAAGGAGGCCACCUUAGUUAAUAAGAUGGCCGCUAAACCGCAAAGUUUUCAUGAUAAUAAGGAUGAAGAUCUAAAAGUGAUUGAUGUGUCCCCUAUUAAAUCCUUGUUUUUCAAUAUGAAUCUUGAUAAUGAUGGGACUGGAGAUGAGUCAACUUUAGUUAGAAGGCGUCCCAAUGAUUCAGAGUUUUUAGAUCUUGAUGCAAAAAUUGGUAAAAGUGGGAUUGAAGAGGUCAAAACUUUAGAUAGCAACGAACCCACUAUCUUGGAUUUCAAGGAAUUUAAUUAUUAUAAUUUCUCUUUGAUAGAUUGUAUUUCCUUGUUGCAAUCCGUGCUAAAUUCUCCUCAUGCUUAUAGUCAAAAUAAAGCUUUUACUAAACAUAUCGUUGAUGCUUUGAUGCAAUCUUACGAAGAAAAAACUUGAGUUGGAAGUUUCUAUCCCUAGAAAACUUUAUGAUGAGUGGGAACCUAAAAUUAAAAUUAAAAUUAAAGAUCGUGAAUGCUAUGCUUUGUGUGAUUUUGGUGCUAGUGUUUCCACGAUCCCAAAAACUUUGUGUGAUUUGCUAGGUUUCCAUGAAUUUGAUGAUUGUUCUAUAAACUUGCACCUUGCGGAUUCCACUAUUAAGAAACCUAUGGAAAAGAUUAAUGAUGUUCUUAUUGUUGCGAAUAGGAAUUAUGUGCCCGUAGAUUUCAUUGUUCUUGAUAUCGAUUGCAAUCCUUCAUGUCCUAUUAUUCUUGGUAGACCUUUCCUUAGAACGAUUGGUGCAAUUAUUGAUAUGAAGGAAGGGAAAUUAAAUUCCAAUUUCCGUUAAGGAAAGGCAUGGAAAACUUCCCUAGAAAGAAAAUUAAAUUACUAUAUGAAUCAAUUAUGAGAGCCACUUAUGGAUUGCCUACCAAAGAUGGCAAUACCUAGAUCUAUCUUCGCUUUUAUGCCUAGCUAGGGGCGUUAAACGAUAGCGCUUGUUGGGAGGCAAUCCAACUUUAUUUUUAUUCCUUGAUUUUUGUUACUAUUUAGUAAUAAAUAAUUUAUCUAGCCUCUGUUUUGGUUGUGUUUUUUGUGUUUAAUUAGUGUUUGUGCCAAGUAGAACCGUUGGGAAGACUUGGGGAAAGUCUUUCUGAUCUUGCUGUAAAAAACAGAAAUUUUAGCGCUCACGAGAAUUGCUGCCAUUUUUUAUUGGAGGGUGAUAUUUAGUUAAUUAUUUUUGCAUAUGAUUAAUAGAUAAAUUCCUCACGUCCAGAAAUUUACUUUAGAAUUUUUGGGGUUCCAGAAGUAUUCGAAACCUACAGAUUACUACAGACUGUUCUGUUUUUGACAGAUUCUCUUUUUCGCAUGUUGUUUGCUUAUUUUGAUGAAUCUAUGGCUAGUAAUAGAAUUUAUGAACCAUACAAAAGUUGGAAUACAGUAGGUUUAACACAAAUAUAAAUAAAGAAUGAGUUCAUUACAGUACCUUGAAGUGGUGGUUUGUUUUCUUUUAUUAACGGAGCUCACGAAGAUUUUCUUUUAAGUUUUGUGUUGUGAAGUUUUCAAGUUUUGGGUAAAGAUUUGAUGGAUUAUGGAACAAGGAGUGGCAAGAGCCUAAGCUUGGGGAUUCACAAGGCACCCCAAGGUAAAAUCCAAGGACACCAAAAAUCCUAAGCUUGGGGAUGCCCCGGAAGGCAUCCCCUCUUUCGUCUUCGUCCAUCGGUAACUUUACUUGGAGCUAUAUUUUUAUUCGCCACAUGAUAUGUGUUUUGCUUGGAGCGUAUUGUAUGAUUUGAGUCUUUAAUUUUUAGUUUACCACAAUCAUCCUUGUUGUACACAACUUUUGGGAGGGACUCACAUGAAUUGGAAUUUAUUAGAAUACUCUAUGUGAUUCACUUAUAUCUUUUGAGUUGUACAAUUUUAGCUCUAUUGCUUUGCUUAUAUCUUUUAGAGCACGGCGGCGGUUCUAUUUUAUAGAAAUAAUUGAUCUCUCAUGCUUCACUUAUAUCAUUUUGAGAGUCCUUUAGAACAGCAUGGUAAUUCACUUUGGUUAUAAAUUUUAAAUGCUAAGAGAAGUUGGAUGCUUGAUAGAUGGUUUUGAGAUAUAAAGGUGGUAAUAUUAGAGGUGUGCUAGUUGAGUAAUUGUAAAAUUGACGAAUACUUGUGUUGAAGUUGGCAAGUCCCGUAGCAUGCAUGUAUGGUAAACAUUAUGUGACAAAUUUGAAGCAUGGGGUGUUCUUUGAUUGCUUUCCUUAUGAGUGGCGGUCGGGGAUGAGCGAUGGUCUUUUCCUACCAAUCUAUCCCCUAGGAGCAUGCGCGUAGUGCUUGGUUUUGAUGACUUGUAAAUUUUUGCAAUAAGUAUGUGAGUUCUUUAUGACUAAUGUUGAGUUCAUGGAUUAUACGCACUCUCACCCUUCCAUCAUUGCUAGCCUCUUCGGUACCGUGCAUUGCCCUUUCUCACCUUGAGAGUUGGUGCAAACUUCGCCGGUGCAUCCAAACCCCGUGAUAUGUUACGCUCUAUCUGUUGGGGAAUGUAGUAAUUUCAAAAAAAAUCCUAUGCACACGCAGGAUCAUGGUGAUGCAUAGCAACGAGAGGGGAGAGUGUUGUCUACGUACCCUCGUAGACCAUUCGCGGAAGCGUUAUAUCAACGCGGUUGAUGUAGUCGUACGUCUUCACGAUCCGACCGAUCCAAGUACCGAAAGCACGGCACCUCCGAGUUCUGCACACGUUCGGCUCGGUGAUGUCCUCGCCUUCUCAAUCCAGCAAGAGGGGCAAAGUAGUAGAUGAGUUCUGGCAGCACGACGGCGUGGUGACGGUGUUGGUGAAGAACAAUCUCCGCAGGGCUUCACCUAAGCACUACAAAAACUAUGACGGAGGAUAAACUAGAGGGGACGGGGUUGCCGGCACACAACUUGGUGUUUCUUGAUGUGUCUUGGGUGCUAGCCCUAUCCCUCUAUUUAUAUGUUGAGCCUUGGGGUCGAAACUUGGAGUAAAAGCCUCCACAAAGUCGGUUUCACCUGAAAGGCAAGAGUCCUUCUUGGACUCCAGGGCCAGACGCCACGGUUCCCGGCGUCUGGACCUAGACUCCAAGGACCCUGGCGUCUGGCCCCUGGACUCCACAAAACUUCCUUUUGCGCUUUCCAAAAACCUUGUGGGCUUUCCCCUUUGGCCCAAAUAAAGUGUUCUCGUACCCAAACAUUUCGGGAAACAUCCGAAACCCCUUCCGGAGUCCAAACACUAUUAUCCCAUAUAUCAAUCUUUAUCUCCGGACCAUUCCGGAGUUCCUCGUCAUGUCCGUGAUCUUAUCCGGAACUCCGAACAACAUGCAGUCACCAACAUAUAUAACUCAUAAUACUAUAUCGUCAACGAACGUUAAGCGUGCGGGCCCUAUGGGUUCGAGAACUAUGUAGACAUGACCGAGACACCUCUCUGGUCAAUAACCAAUAGCGGAACCUGGAUGCCCAUAUUGGCUCUUACAUAUUCUACGAAGAUCUUUAUCGGUCGGACCGCAUAACAACAUACAUUGUUCCCUUUGUCAUCGGUAUGUUACUUGCCCGAGAUUCGAUCGUCGGUAUCUCAAUACCUAGUUCAAUCUCAUUACUGGCAAGUCUCUUUACUCGUUCUGUAACACAUCAUCCCGCAACCAACUCAUUAGUUGCAAUGCUUGCAAGGCUUAAGUGAUGUGUAUUACCGAGUGGGCCCAGAGAUACCUCUCCGACAAUCGGAGUGACAAAUCCUAAUCUCGAAAUACGCCAACCCAACAAGUACCUUCGGAGACACAUGUAGAGCACAUUUAUAAUCACCCAGUUACGUUGUGACGUUUGGUAGCACGCAAAGUGUUCCUCCGGUAAACAGGAGUUGCAUAAUCUCAUAGUCAUAGAAACAUGUAUAAGUCAUGAAGAAAGCAAUAACAACAAACUAAACGAUCAAGUGCUAAGCUAACAAAAUGGGUGAAGUCAAUCACAUCAUUAUCCUAAUGAUGUGACCCCGUUAAUCAAAUGACAACUCUUUGUCUAUGGUCAGGAAACAUAACCAUCUUUGACCAACGAGCUAGUCAAGUAGAGGCAUACUAGUGACAUUUUGUUUGUCUAUGUAUUCACACAUGUAUCAUGUUUCCGGUUAAUACAAUUCUAGCCUGAAUAAUAAACAUUUAUCAUGAUAUAAGGAAAUAAAUAAUAACUUUAUUAUUACCUCUAGGGCAUAUUUCCUUCAGUCUCCCACUUGCACUAGAGUCAAUAAUCUGGAUUACACAGUAAUGAUUCUAACACCCAUGGAGCCUUGGUGCUGAUCAUGUUUUGCUCGUGGAAGAGGCUUAGUCAACGGGUCUGCAACAUUCAGAUCCGUAUGUAUCUUUCAAAUCUCUAUGUAUCCCACCUGGACUUGGUCCCGGAUGGAGUUGAAGCGUCUCUUGAUGUGCUUGGUUCUCUUGUGAAAUCUGGAUUCCUUUGCCUAAGCAAUUGCACCAGUAUUGUCACAAAAGAUUUUUCAUUGGACCCGAUGCACUAGGUAUGACACCUAGAUCGGAUAUGAACUCCUUCAUCCAGACUCCUUCAUUUGCUGCUUCUAAAGCAGCUAUAUACUCCGCUUCACAUGUAGAUCCCGCUACGACGCUUUGUUUAGAACUGCACCAACUGACAGCUCCACCGUUUAAUAAAAACAUGUAUCCGGUUUGCGAUUUAGAAUCAUCCGGAUCAGUGUCAAAGCUUGCAUCGACGUAACCAUUUACGAUGAGCUCUUUGUCACCUCCAUAAACGAGAAACAUAUCCUUCAUCCUUUUCAGGUAUUUUAGGAUGUUCUUGACCGCUGUCCAGUAAUCCACUCCUAGAUUACUUUGGUACCUCCCUGCUAAACUAAUAGCAAGGCACACAUCAGGUCUGGUACACAGCAUUGCAUACAUGAUAGAGCCCAUGGCUGAAGCAUAGGGAACAUCUUUCAUUUUCUCUCUAUCUUCUGCAGUGGUCGGGCAUUGAGUCUUACUCAACUUCACACCUUGUAACACAGGCAAGAACCCUUUCUUUGCUUGAUCCAUUUUGAACUUCUUCAAAACUUUGUCAAGGUAUGUGCUUUGUGAAAGUCCAAUUAAGAGUCUUGAUCUAUCUCUAUAGAUCUUGAUGCCCAAUAUAUAAGCAGCUUCACCGAGGUCUUUCAUUGAAAAACUUUUAUUCAAAUAUCCUUUUAUGCUAUCCAGAAAUUCUAUAUCAUUUCCAAUCAACAAUAUGUCAUCCACAUAUAAAAUUAGAAAUGCUACAGAGCUCCCACUCACUUUCUUGUAAAUACAGGCUUCUCCAAAAGUCUGUAUAAAACCAUAUGCUUUGAUCACAGUAUCAAAAUGUUUAUUCCAACUCCGAGAGGCUUGUACCAGUCCAUAAAUGGAUCACUGGAGCUUGCACACUUUGUUAGCUCCCUUUGGAUCAACAAAACCUUCCGGUUGCAUCAUAUACAAUUCUUCUUCUAGAAAUCCAUUUAGGAAUGCAUUUUUGACAUCCAUUUGCCAAAUUUCAUAAUCAUAAAAUGCAGCAAUUGCUAACAUGAUUCAGACAGACUUUAGCAUCGUUACAGGGGAGAAGGUCUCAUCAUAGUCAAUCCCUUGAACUUGUCGAAACCUUUUGCAACAAGUCGAGCUUUAUAGACAGUAACAUUACCAUCAGCGUCAGUCUUCUUCUUGAAGAUCCAUUUAUUCCCGAUGGCUUGCCGAUCAACGGGCAAGUCAACCAAAGUCCACACUUUGUUCUCAUACAUGGAUCCCAUCUCAGGUUUCAUGGCUUCAAGCCAUUUUGCGGAAUCUGGGCUCACCGUUGCUUCUUCAUAGUUCGUAGGUUCAUCAUGGUCUAGCAACAUAACCUCCAUAACAGGAUUACCGUACCACUCUGGUGCGGAUCUCACUCUGGUUGACCUACGAGGUUCAGUAACAACUUGAUCUGAAGUUUCAUGAUCAUCAUCAUUAACUUCCUCACUAAUUGGUGUAGGUGUCACAGGAACCUGUUUCUGUGAUGAACUACUUUCCAAUAAGGGAGCAGGUAUAGUUACCUCAUCAAGUUCUACUUUCCUCCCACUCACUUCUUUCGAGAGAAACUCCUUCUCUAGAAAGAUUCCUAAUUUAGCAACAAAAGUCUUGCCUUCGGAUCUGUGAUAGAAGGUGUACCCAACAGUCUCUUUUGGGUGUCCUAUGAAGACACAUUUCUCUGAUUUGGGUUCGAGCUUAUCAGGUUGAAGCUUUUUCACAUAAGCAUCGCAACCCCAAACUUUCAGAAACGACAACUUUGGUUUCUUGCCAAACCAUAGUUCAUAAGGCGUCGUCUCAACGGAUUUUGAUGGUGCCCUAUUUAACAUGAAUGCAGCUGUCUCUAGAGCAUAACCCCAAAAUGAUAGCGGUAAAUCAGUAAGAGACAUCAUAGAUUGCACCAUAUCUAGUAAAGUAUGAUUACGACGUUCGGACACACCAUUACGUUGUGGUGUUCCGGGUGGCGUCAGUUGCGAAACUAUUCCGCAUUGUUUCAAAUGAAGACCAAACUCGUAACUCAAAUAUUCUCAUCCAUGAUCAGAUCAUAGAAACUUUAUUUUCUUGUUACAAUGAUUUUCAACUUCACUCUGAAAUUCUUUGAACUUUUCAAAUGUUUCAGACUUAUGUUUCGUUAAGUAGAUAUACCCAUAUCUGCUUAAAUCAUCUAUGAAGGUGAGAAAAUAACAAUACCCGUCGCGAGCCUCAAUAUUCAUCGGACCACACACAUUUGUAUGUAUGAUUUCCAACAAAUCUGUUGCUCGCUCCAUAGUUUCGGAGAAUGGCGUUUUAGUCAUCUUGCCCAUGAGGCACGGUUCGCAAGUACCAAGUGAUUCAUAACCAAGUGGUUCCAAAAGUCCAUCAGUAUGGAAUUUCUUCAUGCGCUUUAUACCGAUAUGACCUAAACGCUAGUGCCACAAAUAAGUUGCACUAUCAUUAUCAACUCUGCAUCUUUUGGCUUCAAUAUUAUGAAUAUGUGUAUCACUACUAUCGAGAUUUAAUAAGAAUAGACCACUCUUCAAGGGUGCAUGACCAUAAAAGAUAUUACUCAUAUAAAUAGAACAACCAUUAUUCUCUGAUUUAAAUGAAUAACCAUCUCGCAUCAAACAAGAUCCAGAUAUAAUGUUCAUGCUCAACGCCGGCACCAAAUAACAAUUAUUCAGGUCUAAAACUAAUCCCGAAGGUAGAUGUAGAGGUAGUCUGCCGACUGCGACCACAUCGACUUUGGAACCAUUUCCCACACGCAUCGUCACCUCGUCCUUAGCUAGUCUUCGCUUAAUCCGUAGCUCCUAUUUCGAGUUGAAAAUAUUAGCAACAUAACCAGUAUCAAAUAACCAGGUGCUACUGCGAGCAUUAGUAAGGUACACAUCAAUAACAUGUAUAUCACAUAUACCUUUGUUCACCUUGCCAUCCUUCUUAUCCGCCAAAUACUUGGGGCAGUUCCGCUUCCAGUGACCAGUCUACUUGCAGUAGAAGCACUCAGUCUCAGGCUUAGGUCCAGACUUGGGUUUCUUCUCUUGAGCAACAACUUGUUUGCCGUUCUUUUUGAAGUUUCCCUUCUUCUUCCCUUUGCCCUUUUUCUUGAAACUGGUGGUCUUAUUGACCAUCAACACUUGAUGCUCCUUCUUGAUUUGUACCUCCGCAUCCUUUAGCAUUGCGAAGAGCUCGGGAUUCGUCUUAUCCAUCCCUUGCAUAUUAUAGUUCAUCACGAAGCUCUUGUAGCUUGGUGGCAGUGAUUGAAGAAUUCUGUCAAUGACACUAUCACCCGGAAGAUUAACUCCCAGUUGAAUCAAGUGAUUGCAGUACCCAGACAUUCUGAGUAUAUGCUCACUGACAGAACUAUUCUCCUCCAUCUUGCAGCUAUAGAACUUAUAUGAGACUUCAUAUCUCUCAAUCCAGGCAUUUGCUUGAAAUAUUAACUUCAACUCCUGGAACAUCUCAUAUGCUCCAUGAUGUUCAAAACAUCGUUGAAGUCCCGGUUCUAAGCCGUAAAGCAUGGCACACUGAACUAUCGAGUAGUCAUCAACACGUGAUUGCCAGGCAUUCACAAUGUCUGCAGUUGCUGAUGUAGGUGGUACACCUAGCGGUGCUUCCAGGACGUAAUUCUUCUGUGCAGCAAUGAGGAUAAUCCUCAAGUUACAGACCUAGUCCGUGUAAUUGCUACCAUCAUCUUUCAAAUUUGCUUUCUCAAGGAACGCAUUAAAAUUUAACGAAACAACAACACGAGCCAUCUAUCUAUAAUCAACAUAGACAAGCUAGAAACUAUCAGGUACUAAGUUCAUGAUAAAUUUAAGUUCAAUUAAUCAUAUUACUUAAGAAGUCCCACUUAGAUAGACACCCCUCUAAUCUUCCAAGUGAUCACGUGAUCCAAAUCAAUUAAACCAUGUCCGAUCAUCACGUGAGAUGGAGUAGUUUCAAUGGUGAACAUCACUAUGUUGAUCAUAUCUACUAUAUGAUUCACGCUCGACCUUUCGGUCUCCGUGUAUCUGUUAUAUGCUAGGCUCGUCAAGUUUAACCUGAGUAUUCCGCGUGUGCAACUGUUUUGCACCCGUUGUAUUUGAACGUAGAGCCUAUCACACCCGACCAUCACGUGGUGUCUCAGCACGAAGAACUUUCGCAACAGUGCAUACUCAAGGAGAACACUUAUAUCUUGAUAAUUUAGUGAGAGAUCAUCUUAUAAUGCUACCGUCAAUCAAAGCAAGAUAAGAUGCAUAAAAGAUAAACAUCACAUGCAAUCAAUAUAAGUGAUAUGACAUGGCUAUCAUCUUCUUGUGCUUGUGAUCUCCAUCUCCGAAGCACCAUCAUGAUCACCAUCGUCACCGGCGUGACACCUUGAUCUCCAUCGUAGCAUCGUUGUCGUCUCGCCAACUUAUGCUUCUAUGACUAUCGCUACCGCUUAGUGAUAAAGUAAAGCAUUACAGGGCGUUUGCAUUGCAUACAAUAAAGCGACAACCAUAUGGCUCCUGCCAGUUGCCGAUAACUCGGUUAAAAACAUGAUCAUCUCAUACAAUAAAAUAUAGCAUCAUGCCUUGGCUAUAUCAUAUCACAUCAUGCCCUGCAAAAAUAAGUUAGACGUCCUCUACUUUUUCAAGUUUUACGUGGCUGCUACGGGUUGAGCAAGAACCGUUCUUACCUAUGCAUCAAAACCACAAUGAUAGUUCGUCAAGUUAGUGCAGUUUUAACCUUCUCAAGGACCGGGCAUAGCCACACUCAGUUCAACUAAAGCUGGAGAAACUGACACCCUCCGGCCACCUAUGUGCAAAGCACGUCGGUAGAACCAGUCUCGCGUAACCGUACGCGUAAUGUCGGUCCGGGCCGCUUCAUCCAACAAUACCGCCGAACCAAAGUAUGACAUGGUGGUAAGCAGAAUGACUUGUAUCGCCCACAACGCACUUGUGUUCUACUCGUGCAUAUAACAUCUACGCAUAAAACCAGGCUCGGAUGCCACUAUUGGGGAACAUAGUAAUUUCAAAAAAAUUCCUACGCACAUGCAGGUUCAUGGUGAUGCAUAGCAACGAGAGGGGAGAGUGUUAUCUACGUACCCUCGUAGACCAUUCGCGGAAGCGUUAUAUCAACGUGGUUGAUGUAGUCUUACGUCUUCACGAUCCGACUGAUCCAAGUACCGAAAGCAUGGCACCUCCGAGUUCUGCACACGUUUGGGUCGGUGACGUCCUCGCCUUCUCGAUCCAGCAAGAGGGGCGAAGUAGUAGAUGAGUUCUGGCAGCACGAUGGCGUGGUGAUGGUGUUGGUGAAGAACAAUCUCCGCAGGGCUUCGCCUAAGCACUACGAAAACUAUGAUGGAGGAUAAACUAGAGGGGACGGGGUUGCCAGCACACGGCUUGGUGUUUCUUGAUGUGUCUUGGGUGCUAGCCCUACCCCUCUAUUUAUAUGUUGAGCCUUGGGGUCGGAACUUGGAGUAAAAGCCUCCACAAAGUCGGUUUCACCUGAAAGGCAAGAGUCCUUCUCGGACUCCAGGGCCAGACGCCAGGGACCCUGGCGUCUGGCCCCUGGAGUCCGCAAAACUUCCUUUUCCGUUUUCCAAAAACCUUGUGGGCUUUCCCCUUUGGCCCAAAUAAAGUGUUCUCGUACCCAAACAUUUCGGGAAACAUCCGGAACCCCUUCCGGAGUCCAAACACUAUUAUCCCAUAUAUCAAUCUUUAUCUCCGGACCAUUCCGGAGUUCCUCGUCAUGUCCGCGAUCUUAUCCGGAACUCCGAACAACAUUCCGUCACCAACAUAUAUAACUCAUAAUACUAUACCGUCAGCGAAUGUUAAGCGUGCGGACCCUACGGGUUCGAGAACUAUGUAGACAUGACCGAGACACCUCUUUGGUUAAUAACCAAUAGCGGAACCUGGAUGCCCAUAUUGGCUCCUACAUAUUCUACGAAGAUCUUUAUCGGUCGGACCGCAUAACAACAUACGUUGUUCCCUUUGUCAUCGGUAUGUUACUUGCCCGAGAUUCGAUUGUCGGUAUCUCAAUACCUAGUUCAAUCUCAUUACCGGCAAGUCUCUUUACUCGUUCCGUAACACAUCAUCCCGCAACCAACUCAUUAGUUGCAAUGCUUGCAAGGCUUAAGUGAUGUGUAUUACCGAGUGGGCCCAGAGAUACCUCUCCGACAAUCGGAGUGACAAAUCCUAAUCUCGAAAUACGCCAACCCAACAAGUACCUUCAGAGACACCUGUAGAGCACCUUUUUAAUCACCCAGUUACGUUGUGAUGUUUGGUAGCACACAAAGUGUUCCUCCGGUAAACAGGAGUUGCAUAUUCUCAUAGUCAUAGGAACAUGUAUAAGUCAUGAAGAAAGCAAUAGCAACAAACUAAACAAUCAAGUGCUAAGCUAAUGAAAUGGGCCAAGUCAAUCACAUCAUUAUCCUAAUGAUGUGACCCCGUUAAUCAAAUGACAACUCUUUGUCUAUGGUCAGGAAACAUAACCAUCUUUGACCAACGAGCUAGUCAAGUAGAGGCAUACUAGUGACAUUCUGUUUGUCUAUGCAUUCACACAUGUAUCAUGUUUCCGGUUAAUAUAAUUCUAGCAUGAAUAAUAAACAUUUAUCAUGAUAUAAGGAAAUAAAUAAUAACUUUAUUAUUGCCUCUAGGGCAUAUUUCCUUCACUAUCACACAUAAGCCUCCUUAUAUCUUCCUCAAAACAGCCACCAUACCUACCUAUUAUGGCAUUUCCAUAGCCAUUCCGAGAAAUAAUGCCAUGCAACUUUCCACCGUUCCAUUUAUUAUGACAUGUAUCAUCAUUGUCAUAUUGCUUUGCAUGAUCAUGUAGUUGACAUCGUAUUUGUGGCAAAUCCACUGUUCAUAAUUUUUUCAUACAUGUCACUCUUGAUUCAUUGCAAUCCUGGUACACCGCCGGAGGCAUUCACAUAGAGUCAUAUUUUGUUCUAAGUAUCGAGUUGUAAUUCUUGAGUUGUAAGAAAAUAAAAGUGUGAUGAUCAUCAUUAGAACAUUGUCCCAUGUGAGGAAAGGAUGCUGGAGACUAUGAUUCCCCCACAAGUCGGGAUGAGACUCCGGACGAAAAAAGGAAAAGAAAAGAGGCCAAAAGAAAAAAAAAAGGAAAAAAAGCCCAAAUAAAAAAAGAAAAAAAUAAAUGAGAGAAAAAGAGAGAAGGGACAAUGUUACUAUCCUUUUUCCACACUUGUGCUUCAAAGUACACCAUGAUCUUCAUGAUAGAGAGUCUCUUGUUUUGUCACUUUCAUAUACUAGUGGGAAUUUUUCAUUAUAGAACUUGGCUUGUAUAUUCCAAUGACGGGCUUCCUCAAAUGCCCUAGGUCUUCGUGAGCAAGCGAGUUGGAUGCACACCCACUUAGUUUCUUUGAUGAGCUUUCAUAUAUUUAUAGCUCUAGUGCAUCUGUUGCAUGGCAAUCCCUACUCCUUGCAUUGACAUCAAUCGGUGGGCAUCUCCAUAGCCCAUUGAUUAGCCGCGUCAAUGUGAGACUUUCUUCCUUUUUGUCUUCUCACACAACCUCAAUCAUCAUAUUCUAUUCCACCCAUAGUGCUAUGUCCAUGGCUCGCGCUCAUAUAUUGCGUAAAAGUUGAAAGAGUUUGAAAAAGGCUAAGUAUGAAACAAUUGCUUGGCUUGUCAUCGGGGUUGUGCAUGAUGAGAGCAUUUUGUGUGACGAAAAUGAAGCAUGGCCAAACUAUAUGACUUUGUAGGGUUAAGUUUUCUCUGGCUAUGGUAUUUUUAUAAGACAUAAUUGCUUGACUAGCAUACUUGGAGUAUUACUAUUUUUAUGUCAACAAUAAACUUUUAUCAUGAAUCUUUCAGAUCUGAACAUUCAUGCCACAAUAUAGAAAAAUACAUUGAAGAAUAUUCUUGAAAGCAUUCCACAUCAAAAAUUCUGUUUUUAUCAUUUACCUACUCGAGGACGAGCAGGAAUUAAGCUUGGCGAUGCUUGAUACGUCUCCAACGUAUCUAUAAUUUUUGAUUGUUCCAUGCUAUUAUAUUAUCUGUUUUGGAUGUUAAUGGGAUUUAUUUUACACUUUUAUAUUAUUUUUGGGACUAACCUAUUAACCGGAGGCCCAGCCCAAAUUGCUGUUUUUUUUGCAUAUUUCAGUGUUUCGUAGAAAAGGAAUAUCAAACGGAGUCCAAACGGAAUGAAACCUUCGUGAACAUGAUUUUUGGAACAAACGUGAUCCAGGGGAUUUGGAGUGGACGUCAAGAAACAAUCGAGGAGGCCACGAGGCAGGGGGCACGCCUACCCCCCCCUCCAGGCGCGCCCUCCACCCUCGUGGGCCCCUCGUUACUCCACCGACCUACUUAUUUCUCCUAUAUCAAGAGAUAAGAGAAGGAUGUUCCUACAAGGCUCCACAGAGAUCAGCGAUUCUGAGCCGUUGGAUCGGUUCCCUUGAUGCGUUUUUGUCCGUUGGAUCGAGAGGUGGGAGGAUCUGGGCUAUCGAAUUUGGAAGAAACACUGCUGAAAUGAAUAGUAAUGGCAACAGAAUGUAAAUACCAUGCCCCCACCAGGGUAUUUUGGUCAUUUCGCAUGGUGGGGGUAUAAAAGGGGCCACGCCAUGGAGAUGACCUAGCCGCCUCUCUCUCCCGCACUCGCGCAGCCGCCUCCCUCCCUCCCUCCCACGCAGCCGACUCCCUCCUCCCUCGCUCGCGCCUUCGCCUCGUGCCUCCACCGCGCCCAGCUCCUCCCGCCUCGCCGCCGCCUCCCCUCCUCUCCCGUGCGCCUCCUCCCUCCCACCCGCCUCCCUGCCCCGCCGCCGUCCAGUUCCAGCCCCUGCCCCGUCGAGCGGCCCAUGGCGGUGCCGGAUCCGGUGUUGGGGUCGAGGCGCGCUGCCCGUGCGUGGGGAGAGGCACCCGGACCUCGCGUGGCCCAGAGCUAUACGACGGCAUAGGGCGUGGGUCGUCUCCCUUAUCCUGCGUCAUCGCCUGCCUCUUCUCCUCCCCUCCUUUCGUUUCGUUGCUCAAUCCUCUCUGUAGUCAUGCUCCCUGGUCCAUGAGUCGUCGUUGGGUUGGUCGCCGAGGGGCUCCGAUGGCGGCGCGCUGGGGUGACGUCGGCUAAGGUGAUUCUCCUCUCGGUUCUUUCCUCUUUUCUGUGUUCGAAUUGUCAUGGCUGGCCAGUUUUGGAUCUUGGGUGUCAAUUACUUGCAGGUCCGUUGUUCUCCUCCUCACUUGGCCUAGAUUUGCUGUGCCGCUGGUCGAUCUAUGAUGGUCUUCGCGUUUUCAUCAGGAAACUACAGGUCGACCUCUCGUUUUCCUUAUCUCUGUUUUUAUGUUUCUUGUUUGUCUGUGUGUAUUGCUCGGUAUGGUGUGUCCGUCAAUCAUAUGGGUGUGGAUGGUGGCAAAUCAGUGAAUUUGUUUGGUUUCUUCUUGUAUUGGUUGGGUCCUCUGGUUGGAUUUUGGUAGUUCACAUUUGUCUCUUUAUGUUGAUGGAGACGAAUGGUGGUGUCCUCCGGUUAGAUUUUAGUAGUUCUCCAUUGUGCCUCCUUUGUUUGCUUGUGCGUGACAGGUGUUUUUUUCUUAGUUGUCUAGAUCUUUCUAGGGCCGGCAUUCUCUCUCUACGAUUGUAGUGAGAUUUUUAGAAGAGGUCGAUGUACCAGGGUAUGCGCCUUUUGGACUGGUUUGGUGACAUUAUUCUUUGUCAGGUGACGUGUGAAAAAAAUAAAGGGUUUGGUCUGUUAAUUGGCCUCUGUCGAUUGAUUUGGUCUGCCUAAGUUAUUAUGGUUGGGUAUCCCUCUGCUUGUUAUAAUGGUCUCAGUGCUGGAUGUUUGCCUUGUCUUAAUGGGUGGAUGUUUGGUUAGGAAGAGAGUGUUGGAUUUGAGCUCCGCCGGGCUGUUAAGAUGUUGUCCAUGAUGGUUGGCAACUUGGCAUGGUUGGUU
rnacentral:lncRNA from 1 species